AAUUCAGAUAAGGUGUUUCAAGGGUUUCUUAUUGAUAGAGCUAGGGGGCAGAUCGGAGUCAUGUCUAUUGGGCAUGGACCAACCUCGACUGGGCCAGCCUAUGUCUAGGGCUCUGACCCUUCGGACGGACUGGACUACUACCGCUUCGAGGACACAUUCAUUCACUGCCCCAUCUUACUACAACUGUAACCAUGCUGCUUUUCUUACUGGUGAAAACAGAUGAUUCUAAUAUUCUCGCGGGGGAUUUCAUCCUACAAUGCCCUUUUGGCACAACUCGAUGAAGCAUUUACGCGCUAGUUAGGAGUUGGAUUACAAGUUCCCCUCCCCGGGGUUUGAGGAAGGGGAUGCAGAGCCCUUUACCAAGCAUGCUAGCAAUGCGCUUGUCGGUGCUGAACAAAGUGUAGAGCCUCACUAACUUCAAAGAAUCCGCGUCAAAGAUGAGGACUAGUUUCAAGCAACUGUCCAACCAUCAUCAGCAAGAAAUCAAAGAGAAAUCACAGUAUAGGCAACAACCAUAAUUAAUGUACUUGAGGGAACGGAAAUCCGGUUGAUAUAAUGCCAGGCAGCGGAGAAAGCACCCGAAGUCUCUUUGCCAGAAGAGGCAAGCGCUAGAGUCUCGAAACCAGCUGUUCUUUCUGAGACAGCGCCCAGAGCAGAGGUAGCAUUAUAGUAAGAGAGAAGCCCCCGAUCAAAAGGAAGUACAAGGUCUGCCCCUAGAGAGUAUUCGGGUCUUCCAUCAGUCUACGUUCCUGGCAUUUCCAUCACCCGAAGCAGAAGAGAAAGUCAAAAGGAAGAAAACGGUGUUUACUUAAGCCCCCUAUAUUGAAUUGAGAAAAAGCACAUCGAAGCGUAAGAGCACCCAAACACUAUAAGCGUAGUAAGUGUCCCGAAUCCAACUGUAAGCGUAAGCGCUGAUGACAGGAACUUACAUUACUUAACUCCGUUAGCACAACACAAGUAGAAGUAAGCAUAAACGCUCCGAGACGAGAGCUCUAAUGAGAAACAUGUUAAUUCCCUUAGAUAUUACCCUUGCAUGUUCUAUAAACUAACUAAGCACCCAAUCCCGCCUUGCUCACUUACGCCCGCAGCUUUCUGAAUGGAAUCUAUCUGGCAUAUGCUACAAAAAUGGAGUCAAAUCACUCUCAACUCGAAAGAAGGACUGGAAAGCUAAGAGUCCAUAAUUCUUGCUCUUAGCUAGCUGAUUGUGAAGAGAGUUUACAGUUCCAUUGCUUGAAGGUAAAGGUUUGCAUUGCUUAUAUAGUUUUCCCUUGUUUGAAGGUAAAGGUUUGCAUUGCUUGUUUAGUUUUCCCUUGCUUUAAGAAUGGAAGAAAAUCCAAGUUGACCUAUAAUUGAUUAAUAACACUGUGUCACUGCUUCCCUACCCUAACUCUUAUAAGUGUGAACUGAACCCCUACCCUCGCUGAUCACUUAGUAUUGUUUCAACCUUGCUUGUUUUCUCGAUCAAGCAUAUAAGAAUGAAUUCUCUUUCUCCGAGUUAGCGAGUUCACCCACUGCCUCUGAUCAAUAGGAAUCCGUUUACACUGCUUCUGCUUACUCUUACUCUCGUGAUGCGCUAGUGUGCGAAACCCCCGAUCAAGACUCUGAUCCUGAUCUGGAAUCCCUAGUUGCUUGGCCCUACAACUCAAAAUAUGGUAAAUCUGGCCUCAUUAACUCCACUUUCCACAGCUUAUGAUCUCGUUGCCAAUGCUCAAUCCUCUUGUUCCAGAAUGACGAUUCUACGAUAACUCCUACUCUCGGGGUGUGAAAUCACCUCUAUCACCUCUCUUGUAGACAAUGAGCAACAGCCUACUUAAGCUUUAUGCAAACAACAAACAAAUAAGUCUCUCCUUAAACCUAGAUGUGAAACACCUUUGCGUGAUUGCCUUCCCCUAGUCUAAUAGUAGAGUUCGGGUUAAGAAGGGAGUCCGUCUUUUCUGGAUAGAGUCAUUUGAGAAUCAAAGGAUUGAGCUCAGCUUUCAGGUACAGUCAGUCAAGGCAAGGGCUACUAAGUUCAUUAUAGGGUAGGGGAGCUUUUGUGUCAAUCAAUGAAUUGCCUGUAACUCUUCUAACGUGGCUUAUUAUUCGUUACUAGUUUGGUUAAGGUAAGAAAGAGAGAGUAGGCACCUGCACAACAAAGAAAGAGUAGGGCACCUUGCUAUAGGAAAGUAAUAAAACCUCACAGGCUUUCAGCUCCUUACUCGCAGCUCUAAAACAUCUAUCUUACAGCUUGUUCACUUGUUCUUGGAGUGCCGAGUCAACCCUUUCCUUUAGCUUAGAGUCCACUCCACUACUUGCUUGACAACGAGAAACUACCCUUUCUUUACUUAUAGCUUCAAAGCCUCUCUUCUUGCUACUACUACCUCGAACAGGACUCCUACUUGAGAUUCUAUAGGACUGCUACUUGGACUAGACUUUCGCCAACUCCUUGAAUAGCUUCCCGAGCCUAGUAACUUCAUGAAACACCGAGCCUAGUAACUGAAUUCCACAAGUAAGUCAACCACAAUAACUAGUAUGUAAACCAGCCUAUCCGAGUAAAAGAAGUCAACUGCCCUACAAAGUCAGUAAACACCAAGUAAGUCAACUACCUUACAAAGAAAGUCAGUAAACCAGAUCAUUGCAGUUCACGUUUUACCGUGUUUUUUGAUAGUGAAGGUGUUUUGCUUCUUAGCGAGAUCCCUUUUUCUGAAAAGUUUACGUUUUCCCGUGUUUUUUCGUAGCAGAUGCUUUUUCCCUCCUAAAGGGUUCGAUUGAAAUGAUCAUUUUGCGUUUUCCCGGGUUUUUUGGUUGCAACCAAGUUUUCCCUAAUAGCAAGCCCAUUUGGAAUUAGAUCUUUGCGUUUUCCCGUCUUUUUUGAUAGCAAAUAGAGAAAGUGAAUAGGACUUUUUAGGAUGGAAGUCAACUCUACUCUACUCCUUGUUUAAGGGUCAAACUAGACCUCUCCUCUGGCUCAUCCACCUCAGGUAACUCUGGCUCCCUACCUGCUUUCUUGCCAGUCGAACAAAGGACACAGAUCUCGUUACUUAUUGCUUAGCUUCCCUUUCUGACCCGACCCGACCUCAACUCUCACUGAUGCAACUGGAGCACUACUUUAAGGUUUCUACUUUAGACCCUCAUUUAUCUAGUAAAAAGUUCCUUAUUUCUAAUAAGUAGAUGUUUUGAAUGUCAUUGACCUAUGUUGGUACUUACUGGCUGCUCUAGUGCAUUUAUUAUUAAGAACAUGGACCCUUGACUCUCUAUCCUCAGGCUACAACUACCGGUAUUCACCAACAACAAGAAAAGUACUGGCAACCGACCUAAACUAUGGCUCUCAGACGGCAGCAAUUAUAAACAAGUUCUGUCUUCGUAGAUGUGUUCGUUGCGUUAGCUUUGUUUUGAGCUCAGUUAGCGCAAGUGCUUUCUUCGUUGGGAGUUAGGCCUCUUCUUCCUCUUAUGAAAUAAUGACAAUAGGAUUCUAUUCAAUACAGAACUCUAUUCCUUUGGAUUCUGCCCGGAACUAUACUGUCUGAAGCACCCAAAGAAACUACACUUGCUCCUUACUCUCUCCUUUAAGAAUAGAAAAAGAUUAUGAAGUCCUCGGCUCGGGAUGAAACUUGCCCACAAAGAGACUCCGCAGACUCCACGGAACUUUAUUUACUUACCACAACAAGCUUAGGGGCACUAGCAGAUUUCCUUGCUGGUUCAGCCACCCACUCUUUGUUUGUUCCCUUUCUUGGUCUAAAGUCAAAGAUUCAUUUCCAUUGUCUAACUCGCGAAACAGGACUUUCGAGCGCAGAGGAGCAGAUUGCAGUGCUGGAAUGGAUUUGAGUGCUCAGAUAGGUACGGAUAGGAAUAGCCCUUAGAGCCGGCUUGCAACAAAGAAUCAUCUACAGUUCUUUUGAGCGUAGAAGCCUGGGAUAAGAAGCUUCAGAUCGGAUUGCUUUGUCUCUCUAUCAGUAAACUAAGACUUCAUAUAGUGCUAAGAGGAAAACCGUAACCCUUUCACUCGGCUUCUUGGCUUAGCUUCUUAAUACGAUUCAAGUAAACUUCACUUUCCUUUACUUCCCGCUUACUGCUCACUUGAUACUUAACAGCUAUGUGGGUCAACUUCCUACUUUACCGCAACUUUGGCAUUCUAUUUUGCUUCUGUACAAAAGAUGCAACUAGCACCGCUUCUGAUCUGGAUCCAGCUUCAGAUAUUUCUCUUUCGUCGCCAACUCACUCCCUUCCCUUAUCUUUUGCCGAACUCUAUCUUUCAUUGCUUAAAACAAGUCAACCUUUCCUAGACGUUAGAGCUAGAGCACCGACAUCGACAGAUUAAACAAGGGAUCGGGAUCAAACUCCAAAGUGAGAAUGGAAUGGAACUGCUGAUUCGGGAGCUCACACUUCUGAUCCAACUCUGGAUUUUCUCUCUCUCUUUGGUCGACUUAAAGAACAAGAACCGUUUGCUGCUGACUUGAGAACGGAUCCUGCCUCCCUACUCCUACUCCUGUAGAUUCUCUGGCUCCAUCUUAUUCCUCAGAUCUAGCUUAUACUCCCGCGUUAGCUUCAUAUCCCGAUCCUUAUAUUACCAGCCAGCAGUGGGCUCUCCAAUUCCUCUGUUUCUUAUAUUACCUGCUUCACUGAUCCUAGAACUGGAAUUCUACUUUUAUCUGGAACUCGUCAAAAGUACUUAGCAGGCUCAACGCCCUAAUUAGUCGUUGUUUAAGCCACCCAGCUUGAACGCAAGAUGAAAAGAAUCAAAUAGAAGGUAAGCUGCCCACGGUUCUUAAAGUAGAGUGAGGGCGCUAAGAGAAGAGGUUGGUGGGUUAGACUAAGAAUAUGGAUUUCGUUUCGUUCCGGGCUUUCCCUUCCUGAGUAAUAGAGUUCGGGUGGUAAGGGUAAGGUCAUUUCUACAGCAGAAGCGCUAACAGAAAGGGGAAUUAUUGGAUUUUCAUGAUUUGACUUUACAGCCCUUAUUUAAGCUCUUGACUCGGCACAAGAAAGAAACUAGUGUUGUGCGUCAGGUAAAGUUACAGAAUGAUUUGUUUACUUUACAGAAGCAUUAAGUAUAGCCUGCCAGGUCCAGGUUAAUCAAUUGAUUCGUUUUGAUAGUUUAUGUAAGCAGUGAGAUUACUAGAGUUUCUGUAAGCAGUGAGAUUACCAGCCAAGCUACAUCCUUAUUAUAUGGCUAAAGUGAGUUACCCCGACAAACAGCGCGGGACAAGCACAAAACUCUGAAUUUCUGGAACUAUGGAUUCUAUAAGGUAAGAAAGAGAAUCCGCAUAUCAGAGGCAAUGAGUUAACCCCGACCAGACCCAAGAGUAAGCUAAUGCACCAUGAAACUCACUCCGAUAACCAUACCUAUGGCAACUGGAUACUUAACUGGAUAUCUAACUAACAGGCUCUUGUUGCUGACGCCAUGAAGAUAGGAACUAACCGAAAGCUUGUAUGUAUAUAAGGGCAGCCAACCCCCCAGUGCUCCUCUAAGAAUUUCGUUUACUAAUACUGAAAAAACUAAUGGAAUUGCUCUUGAAUUGCUCCGGGUUUUCCCCUAUGAAAUUCUGUAUUUCUCUUAUUAUAUCUUAUUAUAUCUUAUUAUAUAAGGGCUAGAAACACUAGAGACUUGACUUCCUCACCUGAAACUACAAGAAACAUUAGAGACUUGACUUACUCACCUGAAACUACAUCUGAUCUCUAAGCCAACUCAUUCACCUCUAAGCCAACUCAUGAACUUAGGGGACCGGAGAAGAGCACUGGAUUUAUUGAUUUCUUUCUUGCCUGGCCCUUGCUUUAGAAGUCACUCUGAACUCUACCUAUGAAAUUAGUAACAGCGUUCUUCUAUAUACCAACUUCCCUUGCCCACCUCUCUUCGAAAGUCACUGAGGCUCUUAGCACCUUGCCAAACCUGUAGAAUUGUUGAACAAGCACUGCUUCCCCUUCUUUAGUGAAGUAAGAGCCUCAUUCAGGUAUAAAAGAUGAACUCCAGGCCUUCAAAUAGAGCCUAUAGUUUCAUUCCAAUACGAGGGCAGGGCCGAUAGUCAAUUGCGAGUUAAGUCCUUUGUUUAUCGAGUGAAGUAAACCACCCAUGCCUAUCAAGUGUUUUAUAGGAAAUGCCCUAUUAAGCCUCCUAAAAUGCCCGUUCAUUCUUAUACUAGGGUUUAUAAGUGACCUGUUUCUAUGCUUCUAAUGUACCUGCUUCUAAUAGGGUAAUGCGCUAGAUCAUACCCAUUUCUAUGAUAACCCUUAGGCUCUCCCGCUAAUGAUUCUGUUUCUUACCCUUCGGAGAGUGAAGUCGAGUUUGGGGCUUACUUCUCACUUUCCUACUUGCCUACCUCAGUUAUUGAUUACAGUAUUCUCCAGGGCUUAGGCACACCGCGUAGCCAAUUAAACACACCGCUAGCGAGCAAACCUUUGAAUUACUAGGACUCGUAUAACCUUUCCCGAGGAAGCUUACAAAGGGGUCCGGGAAGGAAGGGUCGAUAUUCACAGAAUCCAAUCUUAUCUCGUAAAAGAGAGUAAUCGCUAGGUGAAAAGAUAGGGCUAAGCGGGAGUCAGGUGCGUAGCUACACCCAAAAAUCAGAAUAUGGGCCUGGAGGUUUGGAUGGGUGGAUUUGGAUUCUCAUCAUUGAUUGGAGCUGGUCCUGCAACUGAGGCUUUGGCCGGUACAGCUUAGAAGGGAUUAGUCAGCUAUUCCGUAGGUUGGGUAGGCCUAGGAGACUAAAGAGACAGAGACAAAAGGUGCUCAUAAACGCCCCGGGGGCUCUCUAAGAAAGAAAAGGGAUAUUUUGACUAGCUAAGAAGCCCCAACUUCAAGUGUUUUGCAGUGACAGGAGACAGUGAAUGUGGGGGUUGAGGGGGCGGAACCUAUUAAUACUAUUUUCGUUCUACGUACCUCAACCUCAAUUCAAUAAGGGGAAGUACUCUUGUACACAAAUUAUUAAGAAUCAGGUUAUGGAAUAGCAAUUCCUUGGAAGGAGUCACCCACGGAAGAAAGAUGAAUCCCUAAGGUUUGUUUUGAGAGCUGAGAUUGGCUUAGUCUGAAGUGGAUACUGAUGUAUUCAUUAGACCUCCUACUGCCGGCAAAAGAACGGAGAUUCUCCUUUAUCCAAUACCAGCUGUAGCAGCUACAGAAGCCCUAUCUAUGCUAUGAUAUUGUUGGUUUCUAUGCUAUGAUAUUGUUGGUUCGUAGCAAGAGUAUUAUUUCACAAUGUGCGAAGCGCUAGUUUAGCUAGGAGUUUCCUGGGCUCAGUCCUUUCGUUUUAAUAAGAAAUAUCCUGACUUUGUAAUAUGGCAUCGUGACUUUUCCUGUAGUUAGGCUAAGCUAAUAAGUUCUAGGUAUGACCCCGAAAGCUAAAGCGAAUAACGGGCGAGUCGAGAACAAGCCCCUCCCUUACAAAUCAAAUGCCUUCUUUGCUUCUUUGGGUCUUUCUUCGGAUGUGUCUUCUCGGGUACUUCAUCUUUUCCCUUGUCUUCUUUCUUUUUGGUUUGGGGCCAUAGCCACCUGCCCUUUCUUGUUGGUAUUAUCAUACAAUAUUUCUUGUUGGUAUUAUCAUACAAUAGAGAGAGAAUCCACUCCUUCCUACAAGCUGUAAAGGUAUAUAAAAACAAGUCAUCAGGAAAGGCAUACUACUCUAACUCAUGAAGUAUAAUUGGCCUAAGGGUAUUAGAUCCCCUUCCGGGGGUAAGGGUCCUGUGCCUGCGACUCCGGCUUAUACGCAACCUUUAGCGCAUGCCCACGAAAGAAAGAAUGGGCCCGCGAAAUGGUUGACUCUCGUCUCUUUAUUUAAUGUAAGCUUAAGGACGGAACUAUUAGAUGAAGCAGCUCUUGCUUUACGACCUCUGGAAUCGAUUCCCCUACUUUAAAGAGAUAGAUCCUCCUUUCUAUUUCAUUUUUCUAUUUCAGGCGUAUCGACAAAAGAUCUUAUUAGCUUUGCUUAGGACUUAGGGGCGUAGCGAUAACUCGAUACCUUCCUAUACUUAAGGGUAUUGACUAAUUACAGAAUCUAUAUAUUCCCAGAAGCCCGGCGCGCGAUAAAGACCUUCAAGGCCUCCUUCCGCCUGGUCUCAUAUCUAUCUACUCUCUGGUCUCAUAUCUAUCUACUCUUCUCUGGUCUCAUAUCUAUUUACUCUCUGAAAUCAAAGCUGGAGUGAGAGAAGUGAUGGCAUUAUUACAGGCUACCUAGAACGUCCAAAGCAGGGACCCAUUGUACUGGUUACUGCUAUUGCUAGUGUGUUUGUUACUUAGUGUCACAGGUGUUAGUGGACUGACAGAGCGAGCUGGAAAGGGGCUUUCUCCGUCUUUUCGGGGAAAAAGCGUCUGAUCAAAUCCAUCUGCGAGAGCUAGCUUCGGUCUCACGUGGUUUGGUGCCGAGGGACUUUCUUUUUUGGUUGUGGAAUGUAGAUAUCCCGAGAAGGAGGACGGAUCACAUGGUUUUCUACUUGGGGUCAGGGGCUGGGCCGAUUGACUGAACGUGCUUUGGCAGCUCGUGGAGUACUCUAUUACGGAUUCGCUCUAUUCUCAUAUUCUGGAGGGAGUGAUCCGGAUUAAGACGCGUGGCGAUACCUGCGAAAAAGAAAGCCAAAGCCCUAUUUUUCUCGCUUUUCGUUUUUCGUACUCUUAUGAGAGUCUGGGGUGGGGUAUUUCGGGGAGAAUUCUUCAGCGCACUAAAAUCGAGUGGUCAGAUUCAUGAAAAGCCGGGGCUCGGGCUCAGGCUCCCAAAAACAGGACUUACGCUUAGUGAUUCCUUUCCUUUGAAAAUUCAUAACUGGUGUGGGGGGCCGGCUCUUGAAAUGCAUUUUUUCCUAAAACAUCUUACUGGUCUGUCAGGUUGGGUUCCCUUGCGCUACAGCUAACUCAUGAAGUAUACCUUACCUACCUUCACUCAACUACAAAGAAAGUAUGUCCUAUUAUUAUGUUAUUCACCCUUGAAGUUAAGAAUAGAAUGGUUAACCGUAACGAAAACAUAUACGAAGACAGGACUUGGUUAUAGCUCAUAAUAGCUCCUGGUUUUGUCAAAUCACCUCUAUCUACAGACUCGGUUAAGCCUUUCACUCCUGGAAUAAUACUGGACUUGUACAGGGCACCGAACUAACAAACAUUAUGAGUUUAUGACUCUCUCUCUAUCCUUAACUUACCACUAUAAGUCUGAUGUCGGGUUCAUAGGGCUUCUACCGAUGAUUUCCAUUAUUGAUUUCAAUUGGCACCUAGUUAAUGUUGGGCGCGGGGGUAGUAAUGCUCUCUAUUCAACUACUCCGUUUCUGUCUUCUAUUCGCUAUUCCUAGUUUCGAGAGACGAGGAUCUAAGGUAGGAAAGUGAGAGUCAGAGUCGGGAGCGGCAGGAGCUGUUCUGUUGGGUAGGAGAUAAAUAGGUAGUUGGGUAGGUAGAGCAACAGUAACAAAGCAAGAAUAGGAAAUCACUCAUAUAAUCGGAAAUCACUCAUAUAGUAUAUGUUAGAACGUUGCCAUGAAAAAGCCCUGUAUUCGUAUAUCCGGGGUAGUCAAUGGUAGUCAAUUCGUAUAUCCGGGGUAGUCAAUGGUAGUCAAUAUGGAGCCUGUCCCGGGUAGUCAAUAUAGAGAACCUUUACGUGGGAGUAUAGAGCUGUUAACGGGAGUAGUGAGUUUACUUCAAACUUUCAAGAUAGCUAAAGUCAACAGAAAAACGACUUCUAUUUCAACAAUACAGACACCGUAGAAGAAACCAUACCAAAUUCAUUAUGAUCUUAUUAUAGGAGAACGGAUUCCAUUGCUAUCUUCUAUAGGAGCCCUGACUUUAGAGUUUAGGUCGGGUGCAAGUCCUGUGUUCUUGCUUACUUGACUUCCUUUCUAAAGCAUCUUCUUCUUAUCCAAAUUCUUAUUCCGCUCUUUCAACAAUAACUACCCCACUUUGAUAUUAUUCAAAGACAAGAACUCCACUUUAUUAACGUCUAGAAGAUGACCUCCCGUAAGCACCGCUAACACUUAUUUGAGUUUUCUAGGGGUAGGUGCCUCGCGUAGUUCUACGAGUUUCCAGGGGUCGGAAUUGAAGUUUCACUUUACUCGGCGCAAGACUCAGUGCGUUAGGGAUCUCUGGAUCGGGGCUAUAAACCCUUCCUUUAUAUGGUCUUUCUUUUGCCGACGAAGUAUCUACUUAUCUAACUGUGGCUGGUGCCUCUGAUUCUGUCUUUUAAUCAGGUGUGGCUUGUUCAGUUGCAGCUUGUUCUGUGCGUGCUGAUAUUCUUUCUUUAAGCUAAAGUCAGCUCCAAGGCAUUGUAUAGAAGCAGAUGCAAUUCCUGCAAGAAGAUCUUCUCAGCACUCAAUUCCUGUUCGAGUGUAAUCAAGAAAAGAAGCCUCAUCUCUUUGAAAUUACAACUACACGGUAAAGUAGAAAGUCAGGAUUAAGGUCAGAAUCAAUUAAUGGUAAGGAAGCCUAAACCUCAAGCUCGGGUGUGAAAGUCGGAAUUUCAGAGCUCGAGAGGCCAGGCCAAUUAUCCAGUUUCAAGUCCAGUUUUCGAUGAGACGAGAGAGAGAAUCAACAGUGAAUCGGCAAUUCCGGUAGUUUAGUUCGGGUCAAGAAGCUCGUAUCAUUGAGUAUAGAAAAGAAAAGAGGGCAACUAGAACAUAUUUACAUACGCUCCAAAGAAAGAUUCAGAAUUUGUUGUUCACAACUUUCUAUUUGGUCAGGGAAGGGAGCUGCUGCUGUGCAAUGAAAGUAUCUCGGAAACUGGAAUCGAUCUUGCUCCUGUAUAUAUUCAAGUUCUAUUAUUCACUUCUAUGCAAUACCCCUAUAUUUCCACUCUUGCUCCGCCAAACUCUGUUAAUGAAGAAUUCAAUGGAACUAUCGUAGGCUUGGACAAUCAGUCCUUUCUCGUGGAAGGAACUCUACUCUACUACUUUGACUUUGUGUCUCAAGAGGGAAUAAAUGAGCAACGGAGGAAGCCACAGGGAAAGUAGAAGAAUCGUUUGUUGCUACUUUCACCCUUGAAAAGGAAAGAUGAUAUUGGGUAGCAAAAAACAGGCUCUUAGCGCCUUGCUUUUGAUCUAUCCGUUGCGCGUAAGCUUAUUUACCCACUAGCAGUGUGUGAAGCAUCAAUUUGCGCGGUAGGGAAAGGGAGUUAUUGUGUGUGUUGAAAUAGAGAGAGGCCCUAGAAUAAGGACAAGAUACAUUCUCAUCACCAACACCAAACCCUCUUGCUUCGAUAGCAGCUGAAACAAAUGAAACAAGAACCUUAGCCGAUGAAGACUGGAGCGCAAAUGACUCUGUUAGCGCAGAUCAAUUGCAACUUGAUUUCUUUCUCUUGCGCCUAUGAUCUGAUCUAUGAAUUCAUGGAUUUUUUCUCUCUCUUGCACAUGGGCUACUAGAUCCAUUUAUUUGGAGACUCCUACUAUAGCCUUUCCCACUUCACCCUCUGUCUCCGCAAGUGCUUAGUACGCUUCUUUCCCUGAUAGUAUAGUGUUUCAGGGUUCGGCUGCCUCUUUACUUAUAGUCGUAUAGUGUUUCAGGGUUCGGCUGCCUCUUUACUUCCAGCAGUAAUCCCAUUCCUAGACUCUUACUUGAUAGCGUCUGGUUUUCUUCUAAUAUAGUAGUUCCGAUCUUAUAGCAGCUUUAGUGGAGUCUCUUCUCUUGUCUUGCAACACCCUGACUAUCCCUCCUUUCCGGGCACAGUGGAUUCUCUAUCUCCUACUCCAGAUCGAGGUCUCGAUUCUCCUUAGGUAAUUGGUACUUUAUGAGGUAAGAGAAAUAGGUUUAGUAGAAAGCAGCUUGUUGAGAUGAGCCAGAGUCUGCGUAUUGGUAUUCAAUAGGUGUAGGUCAAGAAGCCCCUCUAACUCGCUUACGCUUAACUCGCUAUGAGUUGCUCGGCUCACUAUAUCCAGCAGCUGGUGCUUACUUGCUUUAUCUUGUUGCACAACGUCUUACUUCGUUGCUUGGUCGGAUUAAUUAAGGGCACAGGACUUAGUAGUCGCUUUUCUCUCUUAAGUCAGAAUUCCCAUUAGCCAGAGGGAUCUCAUAGAUUAGGUCAACUAACCCAGUUCUCUUUAAUAAUCAACAAGGUCUACCGAAAGGAAAGGUAUUUGCGCCCUGGCAAUACAAUUAUCUGUUCAUCUCUCUCGAGUCUCGAGCACAUGGUCCUUUUUUUGAUAUAUUUGAGUCCCGUCUAUUUUCCUGAACUCAUAUCUAUCAGCUCGAUAUCUUAUUCUCUUUGCUUACACUGUUUGCCUAAUCUUGUAUUGUCUGGUCAGCACCUAUAGCUAUUGAUCUGACAUGCUAACCCAACGAGCCAAUGCACAUAUCAAAAAAGAGUACUUGCGCAUGAAAAGGGUCCACUCAGGGAAAUUACUGCCAUUCCUUGUUGCCCUAUUAGUAAACUUCGACCGAGUCUGCGAAUUCAGGUCAAACAGGCACAACAAUCCAGAUUGAUGAAUUAGGUAUGAGCCCGCUUGCUUGUUUUUUUGAUCCCGGGAUCCGGACCCGAAGAUUCCAUUUGCGUUCAGUAUGGCUAAAGACCCCAUGUUCGAUUAGUACUAUUCAAAGAGAAGACAUUAGGUUAGGUCUGGUUCAUUCAAAGACUGCUAACCGACACGAUAAGACAAUUGAGUUUAGUGCCAAGUCAACUUCCAAAGAGCUUAUAAGGUAAGCCCUUGUUCUAAUUUAGGAGAGUCGCUUUCCAAGGUUGUGCUAUUCCUUUAUUCUAUCAAGGUUUUUGGCUAGCUAUAAAGCGAGGGUCCUGAUCGAGGAGAAGAAUGAUCAUAACAUGGAACAGGUCGGAAUCGAACCGACAUAUCUAGGGCAAACCUAAGCUCAGCUCCGAGAAAAAGCAAUCUUCUCUAUGAAAUGAAAAGAAAAACAAGCUACAGUCACUUUAGCGUUCGAAAAACACUUGAUGAAAGUUGAAGCAUGGCUUGCCAUUUGAUGCUACUCUUGGGAACAUUGAUACAUCGACUUUCAAGCAUCUCGUAAUUGAGCGAUACUACCUGAAACAGUUCUAACAUGGACAAGGACAGCGGAAAUGGAUAGAACGAGAGUGGAACUCGCAUGUCUCUCUUUUCCUGUUAGUUAGGAAAGCAAGAAACCGCUCCGCACCUUGACCAUAAGGCAUAUCUUGUGACACCAAUGACUUUAUCCCCCCUAAGGAAAAAAGAAUAGUUGAUACUUUGGCUUCUGAAGUCAGAUUGGAAUUUCUGCGCCCUCUGGUAUCCCGGCUGUAGCCGACCCGGUCACACAAGGCUAAGCUCCUGGGAGAGAACUACCUCACUUGACUAGAAAGGAAAAGGGCAGAACAGAACCUCUGAUCUAUGAGAAUUCUUGUCUAACAGGAUCUCUUCCUAUUGAAAUGAAUAUCGUUUACUAAGAGAAUAGAAGAGCGGAGGUAGACUUAACACCAACUUCUCGAUGAUGAAAAUCCUUCGUAACCUUUCUCAAAGAACCUGACGUGAACAGACGCUUUCUCGGAUAAAAGCUGUUUUUCUUUGUUUGUGUUUGACUUAGCAAGCCUCGAAGAAAAACUGCUGGCUAAUGUUCCGCACCAUAGAAAGAUUCUGAGAACAUAUAUACAUAUGGUUAGGUAGUAGCGCCGAAUAUGAAAGAGUCCACCCGUUAUAGUGAUCGCUAGCUGUAUUCGGUUCAUAAAGGUCUCAAUAAAGGAGAAAGAAGCGCCUUCGGUGGGGUGUGCUUAUUGGGGAGUAACCGACCCGCUUUGUUUUGUUAGAGCUUAUAACUCUGCUCCAUAUUUCGGGAUUUACAUGCUAGGGCAUAGUUCAUAACUAGAUGAAAACCUCUCCCCACAGGUAGAUCAAAAAACGAAAAUCCAUGGUCAUCUGGUUCAUAUAUGAUAGUGGCAUCCGAGUUGUCACAUGCUCCAUAAAAGAUAGCAAGCAAGACUCGUGUUUGUUGUUUUAGAUCGUAAGAGUUGACCUCUUCUCUUAAGUGCUCUUUACGAACCCAUACUGAAAAGCCUAUUCUGGAAAAUGACUCGUUCGCUUUGUUCUCUCAAAGACCCGACCACUAGUCAUUUGAAUGGCGCUCCCCCCUAUCCCAGAUGGGGCAAAAAAGCGAAUACAACCUUUUUCCUUCUCGUAUCUCUAGUUCUGACACAGGUAUAGAAGACAUCCUUUGUUAGGCGUGUGUCUUUCCUAUACAUACAAUAAUUCAUGAGGUAUUUCUGCACCUUGUUUUUAUAAACGUAGGCAAACUCACCUAUUAAAGCUCUUCCUCCUUUCUACCGACAGCUCCUCCUCCUUUCUACCGACGCAAGAAAUACCAGACCAACUAUCCUAUCUAAGAAGACAGGGCACAGCACGCAACGGAAGACAUGUCAAAAAGGCCCCUAUUAUAUCUUAAUAAAAGCCUAUUUACCUCAAUAUCGGGCGAGGGAAUCAAGCUCAAUCACCGCUCAAGGCAUGGGAGCCACUCUUUCCAAACAGAGCGGUUUUCUCUUCUUUUCUUUAAGGUAGGUGGGAUUCAUCAAUCCUAUAUAGGAAAAUGGAGGGAAUGGAUCGAAACCAGAAAUAUGACACUUUGUAGCCCGCUGCUAAGGAAUUCUCAGAGGUAGGAAUUCCACUCCCAUCUUUGUCACUAUCAAAAUCUUUGUCACUAUCAAUAUCUUUGAAACUAGGAGAGUCAGAUUUCCUACUUCUUAUCCUACGAGAAAAACUGGAAUCAGGUAGGUAAGCUCGAUCUAGCUAUCUAGUUUCGGAUUGGACGGGGAUGAAGCUAAUCUUCCAAAUGGCAGGGAUAGGCUUUCUUCUCGCUCAGCGAGUUGCUCCACUUCCGGGGGCAGAUGGGCUGGGUCGGUUGCUGGAUACCGGCUAGCUCAAUUCGGUUAUAGAGGGGCAAAGCUUAGACUAUAAGUACAGGUACAGUGCCAGUGAGAAAGUAAGGUGUAUGACCAAUAUUCUGCAUUCGAUACUUUUGAAUCAAACCCUCGCUACUCAGAAUUGACCUAGGGGGAAGUAGUUUCAGAAUUCCACUCAUAGGUAUAAGCCUUAAACGUGUGUGGGGGCAGCUAGUCAAUAUCAGCCUUAAAGCGGGGGCAGUGAGAAUGCAACCAGGGAGUCAAAGUCUGGGAUCAGACAGAAGUACAGCAAGAUGUUAGGAAGAAAUGCAUUCGUUGACCCAGGAAAAGAGGGAGCCAGGUAGUGAACUAAAGAAUAGAGUUUCAGAAUCCAAUUAAGAAUGGUGUUUAUCCGACGCUAACAAACAGUACUUUAGAAAAAGGGUUGACUUUAUUACUACUUGAGAGAAAGAGCACUAGGCGAAGUGUUACCAGAUUCUAUCUUACCUGGGCGCGGAAAUGAAUAAGGGGCUAUAAAGUAAGGUGAGUUGAAAGGGUUGUUACUGUACUCUAUCAGUUUUCUAUUCCGUUUUCUAUUAAGGGAGUUUAUAGAGUUGUUACUAAUUUCUAUUAAGGGAGUUUAGAGGUUUAUUACUGGAUUCUAUAAGUGUCGUGUCGGGUUGUUACUCAAUUAUAUAUGUGUCGUGUGUUGGUCUUAGAGUGUUUUUAUUGAAUUCUAUAUUUGGAAUGUAAUGGUAGAGAUUUGAUUCAGAAAGUGUAUGCUAGCAUUCUUUAAAGCUCAGAGUUCGAACAACAAGUCAAGAGAGAGUGAGGUUAGAGAACGAACAAGCAACAAGGGCAAUAAUGCAGAAAAGAAGAGAGUAAACGUAGAUAAAAGUAAACAAACUGUAUUGCUGACUUUUCCAAUAUUAGAUUGGCGGUUGUAGUGCUUAUGCUUACUUAUGGGGCGGGAGAACAAGCAAACAAGCCUAGUAUAAUUAAGCGCCUUAGAGAUAGUUUCGAGUUACGCAACAACAAGCUAGUUAGGUGUUACUUUCCAAUAUAAGUUGUGCACUCACACAUUAUAUAUCUUGCACUAAAUUCUAUUCGGAUUUAUUCCAUUACUUAUUGUGCUUAUUGAGUUGGGGGCAGGGUGCGUGUUAUAGAGCAACGAGUCCGGAGUAGGGAAAAGCAAGACUCUGUUUUGUUUGUUAAUUAAUCCAUUAUAUGCUAUGUGAGUUAUAUUGGAUUUUGACUUUAACCAACACUGUCCCUACACAGCUCCCCUAUCGUACUUGCAAGUGGAAAGUGGAAAGUCAAGUAUCUCGUUGUUGUAUCUAGGUUUGAAACCUUUAUAGUAGCAGACCGGCCUAGGCCUAACAGUUUAGGUGAAGACACUUUGGGCGAGAUCGUACCCUAGUCUCAGAAUCUAGUAUAGUAGCACGUGGGAAGGAGUGUACUUCUUACCAGAGUUAGGUUAGCAUUAGUUCAAUUAUUUACUUGGAGCGUACUUCUGACUUUCUAGUGCAAUUCUUUUGUAGUUCCUUGGCGUCUAGUCGUUGCUUGGCCUUGCUUGUCUACUACCUUACUAUACUUUAUAGUCUUGAUGAAUACUCAUGAAAACUCACUACCUGUGUCAUGUGAACUGAUUGCAAGUUGACUUCACCACCUGUAAGCUGCCAGUAUACUCAGUAGGUCUAAAUGUAAGCGUAAACGAGUUCUCUUGCAAUCUCUUUCACACACACUUUCCGCUCUCUCGGGGUAAGCCUUGAUCCAAAUAUACCUAUACAACAUUUCUUCUGCAAUAGGAAGCUCAGUCGGAUUCGAACAACAGCUUCGCUCACCUCUUUCUGAGUUUGAUUAGCUUCAUUGUCAUUCGCAUAACGUAGCAUUCUAUUACAUAGACAACGAUCACUAUAUCUCCUUCAUAAUGGAAUUGUUGUGAAAAGCGACUUUCAAUCUAUUACCCUUCACUGGCAUCUCAUUCGUAUAAUGUAUAAAUAGAUCUUUUAUCAUAUAAUCAACACUAUCAACACUUAGUAAACAAGGUAGAUAAAAGUGAACAGUUCAAAGUAGGAGAAGCAAGGGGCAAAGAGAUCUUCCUCGCACCGUUCCGAAUAGAAUAGAAAGUUCAAGUAAUAGGAAUAGAAAGUGCAAGUAAUAGGAAUAGAAUAACAGUCUAGUACAUCCCCUUGCGCAUUGUCUAUAACCGAAGGAAAAGCUUCUCUUGUUAUUAAGCAAGCUCAUUCUUUGAUCGAUAAUGUGGUGAUCCCUAUUAGUAUGAUGGCUACAAGACAGGGAUCGUUUUUCAUGGUAGUUUGUUUUCGAAGAGAUGCUCCUUAGUAUAUGGGGACUCUUUUGACUUCAUUGUCUACAGACCAUUGUUCACUCGCUUCCUAGAUCCUACUCUGAGUUUUCUUCGGUAUAAUACAGCCCGGACUUUCCUUCCCCAUGAGCCAGUAGGGUAUGGUGAAAAUCAUUAUCUUUCUCUGCUGGAUAUAGUGGAUCUUAGGCUUUAUCAUCUGUGAACUGGGCCGAUAUGGAUUUCCUCGACCGUACCUGCCAAGUGACUACUAACCAAACAACUACUGAAGACUUCACCACAAGACGGAAUUGACUACUUGCUUGAAACUUUGAAAACAAUUCAUUAAUCUAGUAGACUUACCGCAACUCAGUACUUACUACUGUUAGGUUUGUUUUCUGACUUCAAACCGGAGGGGCAUAAUCGAAUCAGUAACACUGCGCUCUUUAUUGCGCCCAAGGCCACAAAGAAUUCCACUGAUCCCCUGCUGUCUCUGCUCCAUCUAUUCCUGCGGAUAAUCCUUCAUCUGCUACUUCAAAGGACUGGACUCUUUCACUUCUCUUUUUGCUUCAUCCGAUCCUGUAGUUGCUAAGUAUACGCUUGGCUCGUGCUAUAUUUCUAAUGAUCUUCAGAGUGAUCCGCUGGAUAAUAGUAUAGAGUGAGUUCCCAUUUCCCUUUCCCUUUCCUUUACCUUUCUUUUCCCUUUCCUUCGCUAAUGGGCACGGCUGUUACCGGAGUAUAGGGCGAAGCUUGGACUAGAUCUUGACCAGGCAGCGAGAGAAGUGAUUUAAGAGAAUCAAGCAAAAAAAUAGAAUCAAAGUAGAAGAACAAGGGCGGGCCAGGCCAGGCUAUAAAGAGAAAUAAGUAAUCAAACAAACAAAGUAAGGUUAGAAGGAAAGAAAGAAAGUUAGUGCAGAGGAAGCACCCGGCGUAUUAGUAUCACCCGCCAAGUCACGUAUAAUGUUACAGAGACUAUAUUGAACUGCCCCUACCCCCUUUAUAGAUUGAUUUGAUAGGCAUGUUUGAUAGGCAAUAGGCACCUACAUCUAUUAUACCUCCUAAGGCGCGGCACCCCUACUAGGUACCAGUGGAAGGGAUAUCCUGAGCAAGUGGUGUUUCAUCAAACUAUACAAGAGAGGGCUAAAUUAGGACUCCCAUAGAGAAGGUGAACUAGCCCAAAGAAAGGUGCACCCGGAAUAACUCUAAUAAUAAUUUAUUGCUAUUCGAGGUCCGUUAUGAAAGUCUAGUUCUUGCCCCUAAAAGUAGUGGUCCAGUCCAAGCACCGAACCAGUAUUGAAGUAAGGUAACCACCUAUAGGGUCGUUGUGGAAUUCAUACAUUAGCUCCAGCCGCCUAUCCGUUUUCAUUCAAAUAGAGGUUUGCAAGGGAGACAGGGUGAAGAUCAAUUCUCUGAUUCAAUUGAGAACACAUGGCUCACUUUCAUUCUUACUUGAUGGUUUCUUUCUUCUAGUUAUUAUCCUUAGUCACUUUUCUGGUUCUCUAUAGGCUAUAGGCGGCAUACUCUACCUUUUACUACUAGCUUCACACAGUAAUUAAUAGAGUUUACUGUUCUUGUUGUUGGCUACGAGUGUCUUUCUAUUCGAGCAUUGUCCACAAAAGUUACGUUCUUGCUACGGAGCUCGGUGUUGUGUAUGGAAUCGGUAAUCUUCCUUGUUUAUAGACAGGUGAUAGAGAUUCCUUAUUUGAAGUAUUUGUUGGUUUAAGAAGAGUUGGGGUCAAACUAUCUUACAGUUGAAGCGCUAAGAGAAAAUCCUACAAGACAAGAUUCAUCGUUAGUGAGCGGAAUAGACAGUGAUUGGGGGUAGACCAUUGCACUUACAUGAGUACACAAAUGAGAAACCACUUUGUCCCUUAGCGCCCCAAGAGAAUAAGAGGGUUCCGCCGAAGAUGUCGCAAGGUAUUUACAGGGUUCUAUGCCUGGUGCUCGAUACAAAAGAUUCAAGGUUUCCUCACCUGUACUUUUUUCUGUAUCAAUUCUAUAGAAGGGGAUUGGUAAGAAACCUAAAGAAGUUCUGUUAGUCUAUAGAAGGGGAUUGGUAAGAAACCUAAAGAAGUGAUGUUAGAGUGCUUGUGUUUGGGUGGUGACCAUACUUCUUUUAUCCUUUUGAAAGAGAAGAUAUCCUUUAGUGGGGGCAAAAGCUGGACAAAGAUCUUAAAGACAAAGAGACAGGCGACCCCCUUCCUUAUAGUACUGAAGCGGAAGAAGGCAAUUCCCUAAGUAAGGCUUUCACACCUGACUGCACUAACAGAAUGGGUAGUCAAUAAUUUCCCUUAGCAAUGACUGAUUUGACUUAUUUCUUUAGUAAAGCAUCUGAUGUUGUAGACUUAACUGGCACUGCUGCCUUAUAGGAUUCCACUCGCCAAGCUAACCGCCUCCCCUAACAGAGACCUGAGCCCUGAUUGAGAGUACUUGCUUUGAUUAUGAGUAAGUCUUAUAGAGUCCACUAACACUAAGUAAGGAUUAGCUUGUUUCUUGCUUUCCUUACUUUCGAGUGCAAUUCUGAAAUGACAACUUUAGAGAAAGAGGCUAUGGUGAGUUACCCCUUGCAACAGAAUCAACAUUGGAAUUGGCUCUGUAUGAUAGAAAGAAGUAACCAAAGAGCCAGAGGAGAGGUGGGUUCGAGGAAUGUCGAUCAGAGAAUGAAUCAGCGGGCCCAGGUUAAAUAGACUGUAGCUCUUCGUCCACGAGAUCAGAAGCUUUUCCGGAGAAUAGAAUGUUCGAAAAUCAUCUGUGUAAGCUGUUUCAAGAGCAGACUCUGUUUCCAUAUUAUAAACGAGAAAAGAAAAGGAUAAGAUUCCAAAGAAAGAUAAGCUGUGUAUUUACGAAAGUAGGCAAGUCGGAAGAGUCAAGAUAAGACACAAGCUAUGGGGGGAGCACAAGGGGAAGAAUCAAGUACUAGCAGGGUAUGUAUACGAGUGUAAUCCCGAGUGGAAUCACUUAUAUAAGGAGAGAAUGCAAAAUGAAUCGAGUGUUUAAGUAUAGUAUGCUCAGUAGUUCUAAAGUGUGAAUCGAGUAGUCAAGAGCAAUCACUUUUGUGGGAAGCUGUUAAGUAAGAACAGAAGGAGAUGCCAGGCCAGGUGAAAAGAAAUGAUCAAAACAAUCAAAUGAAUCAAAUUGGAAGAAAUACAAAAAAAGUGAAAGACUACUUUUGAAACCCGUGUACUGACACAGUAUAGAAAACCCUACUAUAUUAUAUAUUAUCUUAUUAUAGGAAACCGUAAUUGGCUUGGGAUUCCACUCAUUCUACUAGUCGUUGCUUGUUGGAUUGAACUCAUCAGUAGCAGAGCCAACAGCAACAGGCUUUAACUAAGAACGGGGAAUCGAGCUAUUAACUACAGAGCUAAGCCAGCAAAAGCAAGGCGGAAACACUGCUUUCUGUUUGGCCCCCGGCUUACUACCCUUUCUUUGAUUCUGACUUCUAUUCUUAUCUGAAAUGCCGUAUUCUAUCAUUAUAUAUUAAUUAUGAAAUUGCUUGUAUUAAUUCCGACUUCCAUUAAUGUGUUUUCAUAUAUUCUAUUUGAGAUUAGAGUUCGUUUAUUAAGGUUCAAAGGCUGUAGCUUCUAUUCUCAUUUCUUUUCUAUGGUAGCGCGGGUGCUCGGGCAAGUCACAUCCCUAUUCUAUUCGUAGCGAUACUGCUCAAAGAAAGAGUUUGCCCGGGAGAGUUAGUGUCCAUGGGAUCACACAGCUAAAGAACGAAACUCCAACCUCGCUUUACUGUAUCUUAGCCAGAUCUUCUUUGCUUGAAAACUAUAUCUAGUGUUACCAAAACUCGGAACUAGGGCUUAUAACCUGUGAACUCAAUCUGAUCCCUCUACGAAUAAGGAUGGGAACUGCUAUUAACGAGAACGAAACUCGGAACUAAGACCUCGACUACUGCUUUUCUAAACCAAUCUUUCCCAGCUAUCAAACGAAAACUACUGCCGACUAGUUGGGCUUUGACUUAAAAGAUGCAAUUGAGCCAGUGCUCCUAAAACGGGAAUAGUGCCUAACAAGACCUUGCCCCAGAAUAGAGAAUUGAGCGAGUGUUCCCAAGCCUCACCUCUCUGACUUGAAAAACGAUAUUCCUCUCUUGAACUCUGAAACUCCUGUUCUAUAGGCAUCAAAUGCAUUAGAAGCUCCUGGCUACCUAACGCCGAAGAGGGUAAUAAUCAUAGAUGUGCUGGCGAGCAAGGAAAGGAAACUGAAGCUCGACCUGCUUUGGAUCUUGAUACGGACUCUCCACUUUCAUAACUUCCAAUUAAGUAGCCUUUAGACACAAGCACAAUCCACUCGACUUCUAUCUACGACAGUGAAGGGUGAGGUGAGGCUAGGGUUAGGAAAGACAUUUGUACUCAUGUUCGUAUGCCUCUAAAUCUGCUCCUCUAAAAAGGGGUGCCUCCGCCUCUAUUCAAUAAGCCGUUAAUGCAACAGUCACAGAUGCUGACACAGAUUCUUGCGCCGAGAUCAUCUACUGGAGAAGGAUCAGAAAGUGGGGAGUUCGGUUCUUCAAGUAGAGUUCCCGCGGAUUAAGGAGAAGAAUAAGUCCUAGUUAGUGAGUUUGAGUCUUGCAUAUAAAACAGGUAAUAAGAGAUGGAGAGAUGGAUUCCAUUCUGCUCUUUGAAACUGGGAUAGCGGUAUCGGUGCCUGAGAAGUUCACACAGAUUAGAUUGCCCCUGACCCCCGACCCAACAACAUAAUAUCAUGCGCACACUGAAAUAGAGUAUCUUCAAACAAGGGUUAGCUCCGUUAGAGCCCCAAGAGGAUCAAGAUCAGAAUAAGGAUCAAGGUAAGGGUCAAUUCCUGGAGAAGGUGAGGAAGCGGGAAGCUAUUCGAUUCUUGUUUCAUCGAGAAGAAGCUAUUUUCGAAACUAUGUCGGUGUUGGGGUCAGGAACUGUAGCUAUGUCUAGUAGAUUGGGGUCAGGAACUGUAGCUAUGUCUAGUAGAUCUUGGUGUUGCGGUGAAUAAGAGGCUCAAGCAGAAGCAAGGGAAUCCGCAAGUGAAAGAAACAGGAGCUACAGCCUUAGUUCUGGGUUAAAGCCUUGUUGGUUGUAGUGGAAUUCCUGGUGGAAAGGUUCAUCCGAUUGGUUCAGCUGUUCGAGCCUUGUUGUCAGUAGUGAAAACCUGAGACUAAUGAGUUGAAGCCUGGGUGUCGUGUUUCAGUAUAAGUAUAAUAAUAGCAUGACUUUGAUUCCCAGUUGAUAGCCCUAUUCUUAUAGUUCUUAGUUGAAGAGUUAAAGCAGUAAAGGCAGCUUUAAGUGAGGUAGUUCAGGUCUGUUUGCUAGUAGUUCCAUGCUUGCUAGUAGUAGCUGGGUUGUCCAUAGUGGUAUUUGAUAGUCAGGAAAGGAAUACUCCAAUAUAUAAUAUAGGUUUCAAGCUAAGAGGUGUAUAGGCGGAUAUCUAGUAAAAGCAUACUCCGUAUGGUAAUCGAGGGACAACUACAAGAAUGAGUGGUUGAAUGGGAGCUCGUUGACGGAGUUCAGGAUAUAGGUUUUCUACGGCAAAUCAGAAUUCCAUAAUUAGUAGUUAACCCAUGUGUGUAGACCUUCUAAUAAGAGUCCAAAUAAUAAGUAAGAAAACAACUGGGAAGUAUGGUUUUCACACUGCCUUUACUGGCUAAAGCUUCUACUUCAUUGUAGCAGGCUUCACUGCGAAACAAAGGAUUGAACUCAGCAGUAGCAGAAUCCAACAAGUAAGUCCACUGACCUAAACACAUAAGUGAGCCUGAAACUCCUUACUGGCCCCCAAACCCGGACCUCUACCUUUCUUUCUUCGUUUAUUGGUUUAGUAUGCCCCUCGGCGUAUUGCUUGUUAGUUUUAGCCUCCCUCGGUUAGGGUACCUCGCUAUGAUAGGACUUAAUAUGGUGUGUCAGUGUAUCAGAACUAAACAAAUAAGUACAGGAAAGAAUGGGAUUAGUAUUUACUUGGCUGAGUUACUUGUCUACUUUACUCGCUUUCAAACUAGCACCACUGCUUCGGUUCAUGGCUUCUUAGCUCGAGUCUACCUCUCCUUGGUUUGAGUAUUACUUUCCUGUCUACUGGUCUGCCUCUACUUUCUGAAAGUGUUUAUUUCCUUAUUCCGGGUUUCGCCUCCGCUCUUAAUACUAAUUAGGAGUGAGCACCAGUAAUAGACUAAAUAGGGGUAAGCAUAAGGAUGAAACACUACUCUGAUGGAUUGAACUUAUAACUAGUACUUCCCUACUGAUAGAAAACAACUCAACACUAGGGCCAAGCAACGGGCACUUCCAACCAGAAUGCAACCCGAAACUAGGAAUACGGAAUUACAGAAUUGACCUCAGCAGUGAAAGCCUGGCGAGUUGAGUCUAGGCCCUUUUAGUAAGUUGCAGAAUCAAGUACUUGCUUUGAUACAGAAGCUGGGUUCAGGGCAGACUAAGGUAAGGACGGAAUUAAGUACUUUGAAAUUGAAGCGAGGUCCACUUCAGCGGAUCAAACUCAGUUACAAGAUCCGUAGUAGAUGCAGAUUUCGUGGGAUCAGUGAGGUUUAUUUUAGUAGGAAAGAGUGUGAUUGGUUAGAGCAAGAUCCGUUGUGCAGUUUUAUAGCCUUGAAAGCAUUGGUUCUAUUCUUUCUAGUAGUCAUUCCAGUCUUGCUCCUACUAGUUAUAUUCUAGUACGCCCCCGGGGCAGUCUUUCUUUUGCCAGUGAAAUCCCCUUCAUUAGUAGUUAGGAGUGGAAUCCCCGGUUCCUGUUCUUGUUAAUGAACACCGAAGAAAGGAGAAGAAAGGACGUUGCUUGUUGCGGUUCCAUAGUAAGCAGCAAGCGGUUAUAAGAGUUCGGGUAGUGAUUAAUGAAGCUAUGUUUCACCUCUCUUCCACUUAGAGAAAAGCACUGGAAAGCAGGGUUAUUCGAGGCAGAAUCAAUUAGAAAGUGAGCUACAAAUGGUUCUAAGAGUCGAGUUCGGUUCGCCCCUAAGGCUUACUCUCGCGGAACUAUAAUAGGAACACAACAGCGCUAAGAUUUGAGGCGUCAAUGCACUAGAACAGCAGUUACAGAGGCCAGAGAAUCCGUUUUCUACAGGUCUGCAGCAGCAAGUUCAGAAGCUGUUCCUCUCGAAUCAGAAUAAUAUAAGGGAGUUUGAUUACUUGUAUAGAAUUGAUUUGGUCAUAUUCCUAGUCCGGAGUGAGAGUUGACUCUCUUUUCGAAUGCCCACUACCACUACGCUUGGCGCAAGGAAUAGUAUAAAGAAAGUGCAAGUUCAGUUCGAGGUCAAGUGGAAGGCAAAUCUGAAACUAAAUGGAUGAUCAUUCCUUUUUCGCUCAGUCUUCUCUACUAUUAUAUUCUGACUUGAGAGAUCUUAUUUGUACUUAUUACCCUAUAGUAUAGAAAUUGAUAAUAUAGUUCGUAAUCUUACCCUUACCUCGAUCUAUACCUUAUAGCGAUCAAGCCACUUUUCAUUCAACUGAUCGGGAUAUCUUCAGCUGGAUAAAUAUAAGGAGUCGGAUAUGAAGCAAGAUCGAAAGCAUAAAAAGUAGAAAGAUCAAGAUUUGGAUCUAAUAAAUAAGAGAAGGAUCUGAAGCAAGAACCAGAUCAGAAACGGGAUUGGAAGCUGAAGACAGGUACUUCGACUAAGUAGCGUCAGGUAUAGUUUACAGUUAAGUCGGUUCAUAUGCUUGAUAAGAAACAGCUUAGGAAUAAAAGGAGAAAGUUGUGUGUUGGGGGAGUAUAGAACUGAUUAGUGAUAUUCCUAUGAAUAAGGAUUAUAAGCCAAUAUAAUAAGCUAAGCUGUAUCUAUGAGUUUCCCAUGGCUUAUUAGAGAAUGAGGCCGCCCCAACACCUCGAUAAUGUUCUUAUGAAGCAAGCGAGGUGAAGUGGAUAAUUGCCUGUAAAGUAAGGGUGAAGUUUCCUUUAGUGGCUGUUGACAGUUGGCACCGAGAGAAGAGGAAGAUUUAGAGAACCAGCAGUGUUGACCUACUAGAGUUAGCGUACCUUUCACCUUUGCUUUAAGAGCUGGGACUUUCUUGAGGAUACAUACUAUACUUUGAACUUAGAGCAGUAGGGCGAGAGUCAACCAGUCAUCUUUCUUGUGCCGAGUCAAAGUAGUUGCGAGUUGCUUGCUUGAUAGCAUUGGUGACAGGGGGGGUUUCUCAAUCCGAUCCUGUUGUUGGCUUAGAGUAUCUUUUUCACCCUUCUGACUUUUCUGCCUCGAACCCUAAAAGUGGGGCAUCUAGCACAUGAAGUCAAAUUGCCUGUUUAUCUUAAGUGUUAACCACGCCCCUGUUACUGAAAUAGAAAUAUAGAAUUAGGCUUGCUCUUCUGCGCCUGCCUGUCGAUGUCGAACAACUGAUAUGGUUCCGACUCCCGGUUCCUGUUCGAAAGUCUGGUGAGUCGAGGUAGUCAAGCUAGUCCAGAGUAGAGGUAUGAUAGUUCCCAGCUGUAUUCUUUAUUGAUUGCCCAGAGGAGCAAGUAGUAGAGUAGUCAAGAGCCAGAGGAGAGGUCUUCAAGGGUAGGUCAUGAGCUAGGUAAGUCAGGAGAGGUGGGUUCGGUGCUUACCAGAGGAGAGGGAUAGUUUACAGAGUGAUAGGAUCAGAAUUAAGGUAUAUGAGCCAUAGGUAUAGAAGAACUUGUCACUAAUCUCUAACAGAGGUCGGGUCGGGGAAGUCAAGAAAGGGGAGUGAUUGUGCUCGUUGCUUGGUCAUUAGUAGUUGCUUGGUGACUUGAACCACUAUUCGGAAGGAAUGAACCCCAGGGGCGGAUGGAAACCCGGACUCAAAGACUUAAAUAAGAGCUUCGUAAUCAAACAAGAGAAUAAGAACCGCAGUUAUAGGAAUCGAAAUGGAAACAGGGAAACCGACUAACAUUAUGAGAAUGGAACACAUUACCUAAUCAUGAGACUUCUACUCCUUCCUAGCCCCCCGCUUCUACUCUUGUGGUUGUACCUGGCAUUCCAUCUUGUUUAUUGAAUUAUGAAAUUGCUUAUGAUGGUUACUUAUGUUAAUAAACAACAACUAUCAGAUUCAAUUAAGAACCACCAGGUCCAACUACCACUAUCAGACUUUUCAUAAUGCUAAUAAGGAUUUAGCUAAUGCCUAAGAGCCACCAAGUUACUACCAUACCACUCCACAGCUUACUUGAAUUCUUUUUAGUAGUUGUCCUUACCGCUCCUGUCUCUUGGCCUGUAGCUCAUACCUGUCACUAUGUCUCUACUUUGCUAUUGGUCUUACUCUACCACAUAAUAUCUCUGCUUCUAAUCGGAAGGCAUGUAAUUAUUCUAGAAUAAGUCAUUUCAGAAUCAAUAAAUCAACUAAGAAUUUCGUUAAGAAACCCAUGCAAUGCAUAGAUAUGAAAAUCCAAUAAGUAAGUUAAAGCAUGUAAGGCAGUAGUGCCAGGUUAAGAGACUUGAAAGAAAGACUAAACCUCACAAGCAAGAGCGAAAGGGGUUAUUAUAGAAGGGUCAGAUCAGUGGCUAGCAAGUAAGGUUCUAGUUCGGGAGUAAAGUCUAAGUCGAGGAAGUGUUUCCUAGGUUUUAUUGAAAGUAUGUUUGGGCGUAUUCCAUUCUUAUUAGUAUGGGUUUAAUCUUAUCUAUUAGUAAUUCCAUUCUUAUUAGUAGCGAUAUCAGCCCUUCAAGUGGGAUCAUACCUGACUUCUGUAUUCCCCGCUCAACUCUUUAUUCCUCGUUCGGAUCCCUGUAGUAGGUAUAUUCUUACUUAAGAGCUAUAGUUUUCUAGGCAAUAGUAAUAAAUAUUAUGAUAUGAUCUUAAUAUUUAAUGAAUAACAUAAAAGAUAGAUAGAAGGGGACAACUAAAGGAAUUAGGACGGGUCGCCUAAGAAUAGAAGUUAUGGCAGUAAGCCUCGUAGACAGGAAAAUAAGCCCCGCCGUUAGGGAAGCAUGUUUAGAGUUAGUAAAGAGUAGAAGGGUGCACCACACAAAUGAAAUCAUAAGGAACAGUCAAAGAAUCAGAGGUUAAUUACAGAUUGUAGGUCAAUAGCCUAUUCCUUCUAUGGGCAAUUCCGAUCCCACUUUGAUGAAUUUGAGAAACAGGACCUUGUAGGCGGGAAUUCGUACUUAAGCUAGGGAGUAGUGGACUAACACAAAAGAAUGGGGCUGAUGACAAACAGACUAUAGUUAGUGCUUCUCAUUCCCUUGACUACUAAAUAAGAUAAUGGGCCAAGCAACGGCGCAACAAGAACCUGUGCUAGUAACAACAGGACUAAGACUUCAACCAGCACUAGGCAGGCUUCAAUCAGUGCUGUAUAGCUCGCUACCGUUUUAACUCAACUCCUACCGCGCCUAAGUCUCAAAACGCCUGCCGCGUAACGCGAACACAUAACUUAUUCUUAAUUGGUUAUAACUGUCUAUUGGUUGCUGCCGCGCAGCGGCUUGCGCCGUUGCUUGGCCUUGGCGGUCAUUAGUAGUUGCUUGGUGAAUCAAAGCAGUAACAACUAGAAUGCAAGCAAGGGCAGCUAGUCUUCUUCUCUGAUUACCAAUUCCUCCCUUGCCCACCGAUUACCCGCAUUAGAGUUGAGGUCAGAAAGGGGAGUUUCGAGUUGAUAGUUGUCUGCUUGCCUGGCUUUAACACCAUCUUUAGAGUCUCUUUCCCCACUCUUUGAGUCUAGUGGUAGUAGUCCUGGUAGUCCAGGUAGUCCUGUUCGAGCCCCCACCUCUAAUUCCUAUGUCUUCCAUUAAACCCCUCGCGCACUUACCUGUUUCUUCACCUACUCCGACUCCUGAUCUUAAGGUUAACCAAUAGAUAUUUCUUAAGGUUGGUUUGUAUCUCUCCUAAGGCUAUCUUGAAAACUAUUAGGAGCAUUUACUUGUUUGUUGCCUUUUGGCCAUGUUGAAGUAGUCGAAAGCAGAACCAUCCAUUCCUAUUGAUCAAAGAAAGUCAGACAGGGUUUGUGCUGUUGGAAAUGCAUUUGUUGAGCCGAUAAGAGGGUUUCCCAAGCUGGGCACCCCUAAUAGAUUGAUUUGAUAGGCAAUCUGUUACUACGGAGUUUCAUUUCUUAGUCUACUACUGCUGAGUUCAAUAAAGAAUAAACCCUGCUUCAAAGCCUUAUACUUACUAGCGAACACAGGACUUGAAAGAAGGGCAGUUCAGUUGGAAUCAAGAGAUACCGAUGUAGACUCAGUAUUGGUAGGCCAAUAGACAGGAAAGUAAGAGUGGUAGCGGCAACUCAGAUUUUGUACCUAAGGUAUUAGAAUGAGAUAAAGGAGUGUAAGGCUAGCCCCCUGGGGUCAAUAGUCAAGAAAUGAAGUCAAAGACGGUAAGAAUUCUAUAUAUAAAUGCAGAGCGAACUACCACGCUAACGACUUCAACUAUAACAUAGGCAUGGAAGGGCGGGCUAAUAACAAGGAUAUUUAGAAUGAGAUAAGUAGCUACGAGGCUUCAAGGCGGUAGUGGCACGAGAGACAGUCAAAGUCAAGUCAGCCAGUGAGAGAGGGAAGGGAGAGUUCAAGUAAAGAGUCCGUUUUAUUGACAGCGAUUUCAGUCUGAGAACCAGUAGUUGGAUCCCCUGGUUUCGUGAACUUUCCUAGACUAGCCAAUUACGAUAAGGGGGUGAUCUUGACACUCUACAGACACAGCGGCAGGGAGUUGGGCUCAUGUUGCGCGGUAGGGCAGCUCUUCCACCAAGAAAAUAGGGAAUCAGUCAUUGAAACUCGCCUUAUAAUGCAUUGACGCCUAUAAUUUGACUGGUUUCAAGUCCAGCUACAUACCUAACCCCGCUCCAUAAACUGGCACAGAAGGAGACUCUACUGAAGUGGACCUCGCUUCUCAGCCAGUAAUCUACUCUUUUCUUCCCGGAACUACGCCUUUACUUUAUUCUUACCUUAAUCCGAAAGCACCUGCGCCGGCAAACUCCACUUCAUCACUUGCCUCAACACCAGAAACACCAAAGAAAGGACUUUUAGUAUACGCUUGGCUCUUAGCUUUUGUCUCUUUGUCUUUUACGUAGUGACUUGUCGGAUACACUGGAUACCUAACAAGAAAGAAUUCCUGACGCUCGAACACAAUGUAGCUCCCGAAAACUGGAAUUGUAAUAGAGUGUCCAUUUCCUCAUUGCUGAACACAUGGGUGAUACUACUAACACAGGACACUGCCGCGCAACUACAAAGGGUUAGUCACUUCUUCCAUUAUACCCAGCUACACCCUCUGAUUAUGUUACUUCCCUAAAAAGGGGGCGACUUUCCAGUAUCAUUCUGACUAGCAUUUUUGGAGCACGCCGGUUGGUCAAGUAAGAGCACAUGGUUGGUCACUUAUAUCUAUAUAUAUUCAUCCCCGGCUAAUGAUUCUGUUUCCUCCUGUUACUGGUCAAUUCCGUAUUUUGGGAGUAGAAUUCUUAGAUGCGGAGCGGCAGUACCCUUAUUGAAUAGAAUUGAAGUAAGACAAGACAACAAGAUAUACAAGAAUAGAAGUAAAGAGCAUUGGGUGGGUUGGCUAUAAAGAGGUGCUCGUGUUGUCGACGGGAGAUCAUCAACAGGAUCUUAAGCUGGAUCCGUGUUAAAGUCAGAUGCUUCAGAAGCAGUGCGAUUGUCAGCUGCAAUUGGGUAAUCAACAAUUCGAUUCUUCAACUCCAGGGUGACAUUCGAGUUUAAUCAGAGGAUUCCGCUCCGUUAGAGCGAGUUAGGAAAGUGGAUUCGAAUUCGACAUUGCAGUUUCGGGGUGCCAAAGAAUAAAGGUUCAGGGAAGUUCAGAGCGUUAGGGCGGAUAAUACAGAGGAUCUUUCGCUGGGAGGUAAAGUAUAAAGAAAGUUAGCUAUAUCCGGUAGCUAAUUCAGUAUCAAGUCGAGCUCCAAGUAAUCCUUUGUUGGUGCUCUAGCUCUAAGUCAUAGGGAUGGUUUUGGUAACCAAGUCCUGUCUUCGUAGAUGUUUUCGACAGUUAUUACAAAGUUAUUACAAUAGAUGUCUUCGUUGGACUCAAAGCAAAGAGACUAGGGUACUAGAUCAGAAUUCCACAAGUAAGUAAGAAGUCAGAUUCGGAGAACAAGCAAGAUGAAUCCGCUCGCUGACGAAGAAAGGACUGGAAUUGUAGUUGAUUGGACUCAGUAGUAACAGUGAGCCUGAGUUCAGUUCAAAGAGACGAGGUAAAGUGGAAAGGGGAGUAUAGUAAGAUAGGAUUGAAGCCAAGCCGGCAAGCUACUACUAGGAGCAAGAGGAUAAGGUAGAAGAUAAGUUAGAUGAGCCGGGAGUUUCAGAGUUAAUAAAUUGGAUUGAAGUCUGCUGCCCCAGUUCAAGUUCAGAAGAUUGGUAAUAAGGGAUAGGUUUCUAAGUCCAGUAACAAUGCGUAAUAUGGGUGAUAGCAGGAGGAUUCCUUAAUGCAAUACCCGAGUCGAGGUGGGCAAGGUUUACAAUAAGGCUUAACCGACAUUUGUCACAUUCUUUUCAGUAGAUUAUAGGUCGGGUGCCCAAACACUGGGGAAGUCGUUGAAUUCUUUGUUUACUACUUGGUUAGGUAGUAGUUGUCAUUGAAUCCUGCCCUAGCGCCUGCUCCUUGAGUGGAAUCCAUCUCUUACCCCCCAGAGAAAAAACAGAAAUAUACCCGUGGACUCCUAAGUUAGUAGUUACUUGUUGGAUCAGAGGUCGCAGCAAGUGAUUCUGUUGAGCCCGCCUCUCAAUCUGUUAUUGCAAUAAGUGAAUUUGGUGUUUCAAGCCUAAUACUCGGUGUUUACUCGGCUAAUAGAAAGGCAUUUUAGGUAAUGUGUUAGCUGACUUUGUCUCCGGGUGCCUCGCCUAGUAAGUAUGGGUCCCUAGCCUGUCUGAGGAAGAAGAAAGUACUGGCCUGGCUUUGAUACAUAAGCUGGAGAAGUCAACCAGUUUUCAUUCACAUGGAGGUUAGCAAGGCUGUUUUUAUUCACAUAGAGGUUAGCAAGGGAGAUGGGAUAGAUCUAGUCAAACUCCUAUAGUAAUUAUAAAUAAGAGAAUUUGGAAAAGAAAGAAGUCAACUGAACUAGGUAUUCUAGAAAAAAGUAACCAAGGAAAAGAGAAAGACAGGAGCCUAAUUCUGAUACCGGAUGCGCUACCAAUAGUGAGAAGGGAGUAGUUUCAGAAGUGAGAAGGUAAAGUGGAGUUGGAAAGUCGGGUGCCUGUACUGCGGUAAUAUAAUGGAAUUGCCUGUUCUCUAAGAUCUGAAGCGGGAAGUUUCGUUUCUAGGUUUAGAUCAGAUGUGGGUGUAGUGGUCUGGUCCAGUCGAAUCUCUAUUUGAAGACAGAGCAGAGGGCGAAAUUAGGACUCGCCAAGCAACUACUAAUGUGGCGCGGCAGGAGCCCCUUUCCAUUCUCCCCACAAGUUAUCCAUUGAAUGAACGGUGGUGAACUGCCCUAGCUUUGGUAUAGCAAGAAUUCUCCUAGAUUCACUUACUACAAGGAAGACCGGACUCAAACACCGACCUGUACCUGUAAAGCUGUAACUACUAUGGCUCUUAGCACCUUGCUUUCUUUCAGAAUCAAUUAGGCUCUUAGCUCCUUGCUUUCUUUCAUAAUGUAGUAGAUAGAAGCUCUUUUAUCUUCAUUAUACUCAGGAUAGCAUUGAAGAUCAGGGGAAUAUCACGCGGAGUGCAAAAGGGAGGAAUGGAGAAAUUAGGACUGAUAUCGAAAGUAGAGAAGUGUAGCCCAUAAUCCCUGUAAGACUUAGCUCCACUCAUAUUGUCUCGAAUAAGCUUUCCAUUUGAGCCAAAAGGAUGAGCUCAGAGUGUCAGAUAUAAGAGAAUCAAGCAAACAUAGAAAAGAAAAAGAGAAUAGGCAACUUACUUCCUGUUCGCAGGGAAAAAGGAAGGACCAACAAGCAAUUAAUGGCAACUUACUUCCUGUUCGCAGGGAAAAAGCACCGCAACAAUAUACCAACCACGCUGGAAUUGGCUGAGAAACCCUUGCAUUACCUAUUGGUAGAGUACAGGUACGUAAAUAAUGCCAGUUGGUAGAGUACAGGUAAGUAAAUAAUGCCAGUGGAAGUUAUUGGUAAUGAAUCUAAAUUGAAAGGGAAAUAAUCAAGUAUAUACUAGGGUUCGGUUACUCUGCCAGUGAGUAUAGGGUUCGUUCGGGUCAAUAAUGCGAGUAGAUUGAUUGGGGUGCGCGCUAAAGUCUCUUACCCGAUGAUGACAACUAUAGGGGCUUAUCCAUACGAGAACUUGGCUGAGCCUGAGCUAUGAAUCAAACUAGAAUUACUGUAGACCUUAAUAAGGGCAGCUGCAACUAUUCCGAUCCUAUGCCACUCUUCUCUUUAAGCGAUGAAUUCCAUCAUAAUCAUUGACGUGACUGACUAGAUACACUAAUGGCACGAUCGAAUCUUUGAAUAGAAGCAGAAGUAAUGUGCUUUCCUCGUAAGGUAAGAGAAAAGCUUUGGGCCGGGGAAUCGAGUUCAAAGGUGGAGAUCCAAGGACGAGUUCAAACAUUAAGGAAAGAGAAAAGAAUAAGAUACCACUCAAAUGUAAGGGAAAGAAAAGAAGAAGCUCAGCUAUCGUUUACUUCCAGCAAUAAAGUAGGUCACAACACUGAUUGAGCAUACAAAACCGGACUCCAUCAUUCAUCCCUGGUUUACUGCCCCAACUUGUAUACGAGUAGUGCAGUAAGAGACAACCGGUCAGAAUUGUCCUAAAGUAGUCAAAGAAUUCCACUAGUUCUAUUACUGGAUGCAGAGUAGCAGACCGCUUAGACCUAUCCCUUUACUGAAUGAAAGAAUGAAACUCAUAUUACCAAUUCUUCCUGCUGUUACUAAAGAUAUAGAAGAGAGUAGAUAUAGAAGAGAGUUCACUUAAGGGUUCCGGGCGACAGGCUACCACUAAAUGGAAGGGCUUUCCCUACUAAAUUCAGGGUUUUCUCCUUAUAUGAUAUAUAAUAGAACUUCUGAAACAAGGUAUAAUUCUAAAGAAGCAGGGUGAGUUAGCUUAUCUAGGAGAACUCAAGAAGCAGGGCCCAUACUAUUAAUUGCCGGUCUAGCAUUAAUUCUAAGGUCAGAGGCAAGAUUGGUUCAGAGCACAGAGUAUAGUUAGUUUCAAGAGCGGAGGCAAGCGAGGGGUUGUCUACGAGUUACUUUAGUUGCAGUUUACAGUUGGCACCGAAGUUGUUGUUUGGUCUUGCAAAGAAUUCUUUACUCAUUAGUUGACUACGGGGAGGUCGGGUCAGCUGGCAAGGAAGCACUAACAGAGUGGAGUGAAAAGAGCAAGUCCUUUAGUAUUCCCCGGUAUAUACUUAGUGAAUUUCCCAUUUCUGUGUCGCUGACUGGGCUCUCUCCCUGCAAAGCUACUUUUCGACUAUAAUAAUGGAUAUGCUUACCUAUAUGCUACUUUUCACUUGUUCCGAACCUUUCCUCUUUACUUUACUUAAGCCAGAGGGAAGAAAUGGCCUAAACUAGACUUCACCUCUUCUUACAGAGUAGCAAACACCAAACACGGAUUCCACUCAACCUUUAGUGUCAACUCAAAAGCCUGUACGCUCACCCACUCAUUGAACCUGCUCCCGAAUCCUAUAAGGUAAAGAAAGGAGUCUUCAGUCUUUGACUACUGAGUUGCAUUCCUACUAUUGAGCACCCGGCUUCUUCUCUUGUAACUACUGAUUCUCGGGUUACUGCUGGCUUUGGCUCUUUUGACUCCGGCUUGUCUCCAAUACAGUAUUCAAAGUACCAAUUACUUGAUUUAGCUAUGACCUACAUUCUUUGGUGAAAUAAGUGUUCAUGCUGCUUCUAAGGGAUGCGUUCCCCUACUAGUGGUUUCUUUGUAGCAUCUUUGGAUAAACGAUGGUUAAGCCGCAUCGGUCGGGAUCGCCCUUACUUGUGAAGCAGAAUAAUCCUUGAAUAAGAAGAUCGAGCCAAGUACUAACAAUAAAGAGUCAAGUGUUUUUUUAGUACUUGUUAGCGUCCCUUCACCCUUUCUAUGUACCCAGUAUAUGAACCUGGCCUAAUCUCAUAGGCGGCCCUGAAAACACCGAUGCAGCAUGGUUUCAUAGUGUAGUACCGGAACUUCUGAACUCAAUUAUCAAGAUUCAAGCAACUUUCUGCUUUUGCUCGCCGAUGGCCUUUUCUCUUUCUACGUCCCUGAAGAAAUUAGGACUUUUACCACAGUAAUCGUACUUUGCGCUGAGGAAGGCUGCCCGUUGCCUGUACUUUACAAGACUCUAUUCCCUUACGCUACAACAUCUCCUGCACCCGAAACAAUACAAACUCAUUGAACAGAUGUCCUUCCCCUCUUCUUGUAGUGUAGACCAGAACCCUAUUCUGUUUCCUACUCCCCUGAUUCUGUUUCCUCCCCAAGUCCUGUCUCUUUUCUAUACUUCUGAAGGGAGGUGUGGUUUACCUCUGGUUGGUAACUCCACUUCUUGUCCCACUGGAGCUCAAACAAAGUCAUUGAAUGAAACAAGUCAGUAACAGGCGGGUCCGAAAGGGUAGUUGGCGAACAAGUAUAGAUCGGGUGGGGUCGGUGAAGAAUCAAUUCCUUCUGAUGCUAAUGCAGGAAUCUAUCUCUUUUUGCCAGUCAAUACUAGAGCAUCUCUGCUAACAGAAUUCGGUAUACCUCAACAAUUUCUCCUUAGAAACAAGGCUUCCAUCUCUUUGAACUCUCCCUCUCCUCUGCCUCUAGCAACAAUACCUAUUGCUAAUUCAGCUGUUUCAAUACACCUCGCAUCAAAGCCAGUAGCUGAAGAUUCUUAUAGCAUUGGUUACUGGGUUGGCUGGCGAGAAAGAAGUAAACUUAAGUCACUCCCUACCAGCUUGCCCUUACAUUAACGCUUUGUCUACUAAAGUAUCAAUAUGAAUUCGAUAAGCUCCGCCUUACCUGCAAAAGUAUCAAUAUGAAUUCGAUCAGUGCUUUCCCGAUUAGCCCUACAGAGGCAUAGGCACCUACCCCGUCUUAUCGUUGUUUCUACUUUCGCCCUUGACUUGAGAGUACUCUUUUAUUGCUUAACUCGCUAAUGGAGCUCACUCCUACAGUUGCUCAAAAGAACUAUAGCACAAGAACUAUACCCCUAAACAAACGGAACUGACCUUACCGAACCGUACCCUCAAUGUGGAAUUCUCCUGUGAGUUUUUUCGCUUGCCUGUUCUUUUACUAAUGGGUGUCAAUUCGGAAUUAGUCUACCCAUGAGUCAUUCUCUACAUACCCCAUGGAAUAAAGAUAGGAUUUCUUAGAGCGCUGUCACUUUAGUACCGAAACGAAACUCAAGCUUUUGAUUCGAGUGCCGGCUAUCUUAGGUAACGCCUACCCGCUACCUGCUACAUUAUUGAAUGCUAUCCAUCCUGCCCGAGUACCCUUACAGGCUUUAUUCGGUUCCUUCUCUGGUUCGGGUGCAGGUUCAACUCUACGGAAACCUUAACUGUAAGCUCUUCCUUCCUUUACUUACAGGUUUCCCUAAAACGAAAAGUCAAAGUAAUGAUUCCCGUCCCUGAAACUAUAAGUCCAUUGACUAAGAAGGGGCCGAGCCAAACUAUUGCUUUCUUCUCGGAUCACACGCAUGCCUUUUAGAAUGACUCGAGAGAGAAGCCGGCUAUCAAAGCGCUUCCGGCCCAUCAAAAUGAACUGUUCGGGGGUGUUUGUGUGUUGGUCUAUCUAGGUUUGGUAGUGCCCCAAAGGUAGUUGCCCCAUCUCUCUUCCACCCUUUCCCGGCUCACUCAUUAUGCAAGCAAGCAAAGAAGCAGCUGGAUAAAUAAUAUUCAUGGGCUGGCUGGGAUCCAAUAUUACUGGAUCAGUAUCUAAAGCAGUUUCAAUAGAAUCAGGAGGAUGGUUUCGCUAUUAAAGUCUUCGUCGUAUCGGCUAAUGGAAAGGGAGUUUCAGUUGAGUCCGGAAAAGAAGCUAUGCCCAUUGAAGAAUAAGAAGAUCAAGGGAGUAGAAUAUAGAAUCGAAUAUGGAGCAGGAUCCGGUGAGUAAGAAAGAGCUGUUUCAACAGAAGAAACUGUUCGAAAGCUCUGGUCAGCUGCUUUAUUGCCUUAUAGCUCUGGUCAGCUGCUUUAUUGCCUUAUAGUGAUUGUCCCGCGGAAGCUAAAAGUACUGAAGUAUAGUAUCAAGCGGAACCAGAAAGCACAGAUUAUAGGCGCCAAUGAACUAGAACAACUGAUAGAGAUCUUCAAUGAUACUUUUUCCAAUUGAUUGGAUUCCCCGAGACUCUCAAUCCGCAGUAACUGAAUCUUCAUCCGGGAUCAGGCCCAGACUCAGCUGUUAGAGUUUUUCAUGCGAGAUUGGAUUUCUACAUUGCUCAUCUUCACAACACCUUUACUAAUGGGCAUUCCUCUUUCCUUCCUAUAGUGGUGGGUACAUACAUAUCUUUCAUUCAUAGGUCCAGCGAGACAAAGUAGAAAGUCUCCUGUUUAGUAUAAAGAAAGGAAGUAUUGUCUAUUCUUGAGUGAACUCACGUUAGCUGACAAAGAAAAGAAUCAAGAAUGGAGUUGAGUAGUAGCUAUAGGUCGAAGUAGAGAAAUUUGGAGCUGCAUCACAAGAACUAAACCACCUGUCGUUCUUUCUUUCGUCCUUUGUUCUCUUGCUCAUCUAGAGCAUAUGUAGCAUAGGCAGUGUUUUUAUGUUUCUUAGAGUUUUGGAUUAUAGAAUCUUAUGUAUGAUGCUUCACACAACGCCUCAUUCAAAGCUAUUCCUUCAACCUGAAAGAAGUCCAGCAAUGGUUUUACCUAGUCUAAUCGUGCUCGGUAGCAGAUGCAACUAGCGGGUUGGAAGAUGCUCGCAAUAAAUAAGUUGGCAGGAGAGGUUUCACCAACAGUAGAUGCUCGCAAUAAAUAAGUUCAGGGGCAUCUUUGCUUACGUGAGACUUGAUACUCUUAUUAAGAUAUUACUUUCUUAAAGGGCUGGAACUUGACUUCGAGCAGAAAGAAAAGAAUAGAGUCCAAUAGCACUAAACUCCCCCAUACUUUUAGCCAUUGACAGCGCUAUGCCUUGAAAGUGCCAAUGGGUCUUGCUUGCCUUGACUUUGAUUAUGGCCCCACAGGGAUUAGUGGAAUUGGUAUCGCCGAACAGCCCUUACUCAAUUCCCAAUAUUAGUAUAGCAAUAAACAAGUUAGGCUUUCUCACAAGGGUUUGUUUUUUCACUCGUAUUCUUAAGUAGGACAGUCAGUUGACGACUGUUUAUCCACUACAAGGCAAAUAAAGCCAAUAACUCCAUGAAACUAAUUAACAGAGACCAUGACUCGAGCAGAACAAGUAGACAACACUUGAACAAGCACCGAACCUAGACAUAACUCGCAAAGCCUUCAGAUACUUAUCCAUCUUGUACCGAGGAAAGUCAAACAAAAGAAUCUCUCUCUCUUUUGGAAUAGAAUAUAGGAAUUGACAUCAUAUAGGAAUUGACCUAUCAACUGGAAACUCGCAUUGCAGCAUUGAAUUGAAACUAUGUUAGCGCCUGCACCCGCACUGCUCACUUUUGCCUCUGUUCCUGCUCGUAGACUACUAAGGUAAAGGCAAUCAGUCCCUAUCUUUACAGGAAUAAGCAUAAACGGAACAAACAAGGGAAGAAAAGAAGCAUAAGUGGGACAAUCAGUGUAAGAAGGCCUAUUUGGAUAAGUUGAAUCUCUGUGCAAUUACUCUUAUAGCAAAAUGACUCAUCGAAACCAUCCUAAAGUCCAACGAAUGAAUUGACUACUAUCAUAUUGUAGUUCCUAAUACUAGAUAUCUUAUUUCCCCGCCUUACUGACAUUUCUGAUUAUUUCCCCGCCUUACCUUACCUGACAUUAAUGAAGCAAGCUAGGAGUUCACCAGUGAUUUUGCCUUGAAAGCGAAGAGGAGCAGGCUCACAUCAAAAGCAUAGGAUCUUGGAUGUCGAGUGCAAUUCCCAUAGGAGUAUGUGCUUUCCUUGGUUCGAUCCCCCGUCUAGAGUUUCAUUCAUAGUUAUGAGUUUAGGUUUCAAACAAAUAAGUCCGGAUAUGAGUCAGCUGUGUUGGAAUCAAAGAAAGGGAAGGCAGAUUCAAACCUAGUAAGCAAAGACAGUUAGGCAGCUUCUGGUGCUGUAGCUACAAUCUCAUAGUAGGUAGUUGUGCAUUCUACUAGUCUUAUAAUAGAAUAGUGGUUGGAAGCUAGUAAGUCGCGUUAUGGCCCCAGCCCAGGGAUAAACAAUCACAGACAAGAAAUCAAUACUUUCAAGAAGUAGUUUCCGGGCGAAACACUAGAAUGAAGGGAAUAAAGUCAAGAGCGAUAGACUAGGCUGUAUAGGGGAAAGUUCGACGGAAAGGCGGGAGCGGAAGAGACAAACUCAUAUAAGCAAGAAGAGAAGGCAGUAAUGUUCGUUUUAGAGCUAGAGAAGCAAAGAUCUAGAUCUGUAGUAUCCGACCCUAGUUCCGAGUUUCAGUAUUAUUGGCAUCAAUGUAUAAGUGCAAAAGAAAGGAGAGGUGGACCCGCCCUAAGAAGUAAGAGGAUCCGGAUCAAUAUUGAAAGAAGAAAAAAUGGGAUGGUGAGCCCAGUUACCGGUAGUUCUUAUUCUGGAGGAGGGUAGUGUUUCAAUCCGGUAGUUAGUAGUUCAAGAGGGAAAGAAGGGAAAUAAGGUUUUCAAGAAAGCAAGCAAGGGAAGCUAACAGGCAAGAUCAUAGGGCAGUGGUGAAUUACUAGUUUAGUGCUUUAUUCUCAUCGGUAUUGGUUCAAGUCGUUGGGGCAGGGCAGUGUUCCGUUAUGACUUUCUAGUUGAGUUUUGUACGACGUACUUCGCAUGCUAAUAUAGGUGUAACUUAAUAGUGAAUUGAAUAAUGAAAUAAACAAGUAUAAAGAAAAGACAGGAUAGGCAGCACUUGAGUUGGGAGUGACAGAGUUAGGUAGGAGAAUGGGCAUGCAAAUGAAGCAAAGCAGUAGGAGCCUAAAGCCCGGGAGCAAGAAAACUAGUCAAUAGCUCUAUGGUAUCAGCUUAAGAGUUGGGAUAGAAAUACUGAUGAUGGUGUUCGGGUGAUAAGAAUAGGAGAGUUAGUGGAGGCGAGCUCAUAGGCAAAGGCGAGAGACUAAACCGGGAUGUCAGAAAGGAGUAGAAGACCUGCAGUUAGUGUUAGAGGAAUCAAAGCAUAGAUCAAGUUCUCAAGUAAGUAGUGUGAGGCUAAGAGGAAGGAGCCGCAGCCUUGUUAGCAACGGUUUUGUUCUCGUCCCCAGGCAGUGAAGCCCGGGUUCUUAGUUUGCUCUAUCAGCCUACAGUAUCGUUUUGGAGUUAGGGGAAGCAGACUAAACUAAAGAGAUAUAGAAUGCAAUACAAAGAAAAUAAGCCUAAGUCAUAGGGCAGACCUCAGUAAUAGGGCAGAGGUGAGCUCCGGAGUUUUCAAUAAAAGAGAGGCAGGCNNNNNNNNNNNNNNNNNNNNNNNNNNNNNNNNNNNNNNNNNNNNNNNNNNNNNNNNNNNNNNNNNNNNNNNNNNNNNNNNNNNNNNNNNNNNNNNNNNNNNNNNNNNNNNNNNNNNNNNNNNNNNNNNNNNNNNNNNNNNNNNNNNNNNNNNNNNNNNNNNNNNNNNNNNNNNNNNNNNNNNNNNNNNNNNNNNNNNNNNNNNNNNNNNNNNNNNNNNNNNNNNNNNNNNNNNNNNNNNNNNNNNNNNNNNNNNNNNNNNNNNNNNNNNNNNNNNNNNNNNNNNNNNNNNNNNNNNNNNNNNNNNNNNNNNNNNNNNNNNNNNNNNNNNNNNNNNNNNNNNNNNNNNNNNNNNNNNNNNNNNNNNNNNNNNNNNNNNNNNNNNNNNNNNNNNNNNNNNNNNNNNNNNNNNNNNNNNNNNNNNNNNNNNNNNNNNNNNNNNNNNNNNNNNNNNNNNNNNNNNNNNNNNNNNNNNNNNNNNNNNNNNNNNNNNNNNNNNNNNNNNNNNNNNNNNNNNNNNNNNNNNNNNNNNNNNNNNNNNNNNNNNNNNNNNNNNNNNNNNNNNNNNNNNNNNNNNNNNNNNNNNNNNNNNNNNNNNNNNNNNNNNNNNNNNNNNNNNNNNNNNNNNNNNNNNNNNNNNNNNNNNNNNNNNNNNNNNNNNNNNNNNNNNNNNNNNNNNNNNNNNNNNNNNNNNNNNNNNNNNNNNNNNNNNNNNNNNNNNNNNNNNNNNNNNNNNNNNNNNNNNNNNNNNNNNNNNNNNNNNNNNNNNNNNNNNNNNNNNNNNNNNNNNNNNNNNNNNNNNNNNNNNNNNNNNNNNNNNNNNNNNNNNNNNNNNNNNNNNNNNNNNNNNNNNNNNNNNNNNNNNNNNNNNNNNNNNNNNNNNNNNNNNNNNNNNNNNNNNNNNNNNNNNNNNNNNNNNNNNNNNNNNNNNNNNNNNNNNNNNNNNNNNNNNNNNNNNNNNNNNNNNNNNNNNNNNNNNNNNNNNNNNNNNNNNNNNNNNNNNNNNNNNNNNNNNNNNNNNNNNNNNNNNNNNNNNNNNNNNNNNNNNNNNNNNNNNNNNNNNNNNNNNNNNNNNNNNNNNNNNNNNNNNNNNNNNNNNNNNNNNNNNNNNNNNNNNNNNNNNNNNNNNNNNNNNNNNNNNNNNNNNNNNNNNNNNNNNNNNNNNNNNNNNNNNNNNNNNNNNNNNNNNNNNNNNNNNNNNNNNNNNNNNNNNNNNNNNNNNNNNNNNNNNNNNNNNNNNNNNNNNNNNNNNNNNNNNNNNNNNNNNNNNNNNNNNNNNNNNNNNNNNNNNNNNNNNNNNNNNNNNNNNNNNNNNNNNNNNNNNNNNNNNNNNNNNNNNNNNNNNNNNNNNNNNNNNNNNNNNNNNNNNNNNNNNNNNNNNNNNNNNNNNNNNNNNNNNNNNNNNNNNNNNNNNNNNNNNNNNNNNNNNNNNNNNNNNNNNNNNNNNNNNNNNNNNNNNNNNNNNNNNNNNNNNNNNNNNNNNNNNNNNNNNNNNNNNNNNNNNNNNNNNNNNNNNNNNNNNNNNNNNNNNNNNNNNNNNNNNNNNNNNNNNNNNNNNNNNNNNNNNNNNNNNNNNNNNNNNNNNNNNNNNNNNNNNNNNNNNNNNNNNNNNNNNNNNNNNNNNNNNNNNNNNNNNNNNNNNNNNNNNNNNNNNNNNNNNNNNNNNNNNNNNNNNNNNNNNNNNNNNNNNNNNNNNNNNNNNNNNNNNNNNNNNNNNNNNNNNNNNNNNNNNNNNNNNNNNNNNNNNNNNNNNNNNNNNNNNNNNNNNNNNNNNNNNNNNNNNNNNNNNNNNNNNNNNNNNNNNNNNNNNNNNNNNNNNNNNNNNNNNNNNNNNNNNNNNNNNNNNNNNNNNNNNNNNNNNNNNNNNNNNNNNNNNNNNNNNNNNNNNNNNNNNNNNNNNNNNNNNNNNNNNNNNNNNNNNNNNNNNNNNNNNNNNNNNNNNNNNNNNNNNNNNNNNNNNNNNNNNNNNNNNNNNNNNNNNNNNNNNNNNNNNNNNNNNNNNNNNNNNNNNNNNNNNNNNNNNNNNNNNNNNNNNNNNNNNNNNNNNNNNNNNNNNNNNNNNNNNNNNNNNNNNNNNNNNNNNNNNNNNNNNNNNNNNNNNNNNNNNNNNNNNNNNNNNNNNNNNNNNNNNNNNNNNNNNNNNNNNNNNNNNNNNNNNNNNNNNNNNNNNNNNNNNNNNNNNNNNNNNNNNNNNNNNNNNNNNNNNNNNNNNNNNNNNNNNNNNNNNNNNNNNNNNNNNNNNNNNNNNNNNNNNNNNNNNNNNNNNNNNNNNNNNNNNNNNNNNNNNNNNNNNNNNNNNNNNNNNNNNNNNNNNNNNNNNNNNNNNNNNNNNNNNNNNNNNNNNNNNNNNNNNNNNNNNNNNNNNNNNNNNNNNNNNNNNNNNNNNNNNNNNNNNNNNNNNNNNNNNNNNNNNNNNNNNNNNNNNNNNNNNNNNNNNNNNNNNNNNNNNNNNNNNNNNNNNNNNNNNNNNNNNNNNNNNNNNNNNNNNNNNNNNNNNNNNNNNNNNNNNNNNNNNNNNNNNNNNNNNNNNNNNNNNNNNNNNNNNNNNNNNNNNNNNNNNNNNNNNNNNNNNNNNNNNNNNNNNNNNNNNNNNNNNNNNNNNNNNNNNNNNNNNNNNNNNNNNNNNNNNNNNNNNNNNNNNNNNNNNNNNNNUUGUAGGCAGGGAGAGAAGUCCUAUUUAUAAGAAAUAGUAUUGGUAGCAGCUACGGAAGUAGGAAUCCUAGAAUCCAAGUCAGCAGCGGGAGAAUGAGAUAGCGCAGCAUUGUUUUUCGAGAUAGUUGCAGUAGACUUAGCUAGGGGAUAUCGGUGUACUGAUCUGUGGAAGCAAGGAUGCCAGUCAGGAGUCGUAGUGCAAAGUUUCAAUCAAUAGAUGGAUAAUGUAGCUAACCUGCUAUAGUCUGAGUUUAGAGCUAAGGUCCUAUGAGUUAACGGCUAAGGUAUCAGCCAACUCCCUAUAUCUGACAUUCUUAGAAGCACCUGUUGUUCUCUUAUUAGUAUAGGCAUAAAAGACAGGAUCGGUAUACUUGAAAUAAGGCCAAGAGAGUUUCUCGUAAGAAUAAGAGAUAGGGUUGUUAGAACCAAAGCCAUUAAUUUGGAGGAUAGAAGCGAGGCAGGACAGGUUCAUAGGCAAUAUUGCUAGGAUCUGUAUCCUAACGGCCUAGAAGAAUAUAAAGUACUUGUAAGCCUAAGAGUCACUAGUCGCAGAACGAAAGGCAGGACCUAAAGAAUUCAAGCGUGAGUCAAAGUUUGGUAGCAGGGAAGGGAAGGUUUAAGCCCAUAAGUAAGGAUGCCAGGGCCAAGUAACGUUUGUAGUGACUUGCCGUCUUGUCUGCUUGGCUCUUAUCUCUUCCUAGUAGUGGCUUGUGGACUCUGCGCUCGAUAAUCAAUUCAGUAUGGACUUCGCAUCAAGACUACUAUAAUAAAUGGUCAGUGAGCUCAGCUCCUCAAUUCCUAUUUGAUAUGCAAAAUGGAGAUAUUCGGCAGUUCGAGAAGAAACAGUCACUUAAUCUAUAGCAUAUUAGAACUGUGCUCAUUGGCUUACAUGAAUAAUCUCGUAUCUAGCGCAGAAGCGCACUACACUACAUGGUUAAGGCCCACUAGGCAGUUAAGCUGCGUUGUAUCUUUCAGUUCCUGUUUCAUCGUUAGUCAGAAUAGACUCCGCAGUCAGAGUUUUUUCGACAAGAUCUAAAGCGGGACAAUCCGGUUACCUUGAUUAUAUGGCCCAAGUGUACGAUAACCAGAAGUCAGAUCCUUUUUUACAACCUCUUAUCCUUAUGAAGAGCCAGAUCUUGCUUCCUAAACUGAUUGACUUGAUACUGUUUCAAACAAAAGAUGUGUAGGAUCGGGUUGACUGCUUCCUUUACCGAUAAUGGCGCAUUAGCAUUAGUCUUAUUUUCAACAGGGGUUCUGAGCGCCCAGCAGCCCUUUCGCUUGGCUUAAACAAAUAUAGGGUUACAGCAAACAAAACGAGAACGAUUGGGACUGGCAAUACUUAACGCUGCAAACUCUCUCACACCGGAAUCGGGACAGGACUAGUUGGGCCAAGUAAAACAGUAAUAGCAGUAUCAUCUCUAUCUUUAGCAUAUGAUAUAUCAGAAAGUCAUAUUAUAUAUAAUAAAGUAAAUACACUGCAUCCCUUUCUUUUGCCCCGAACAAGACAGGAAGUGAGUUCUGAACCGCUUGCAUACUUUGUCUUUGUCUCCGGGGUGGGCUGGGCACCUAUCCGAUUUUUCACUCAAUGCAGUUAGUUUAGCCGAUAUUCCAUUGCUUGUUGGGAGACAAUCAGUUACAUUGAUUCUCUAGUGACCCCUUUCUAUAUUAAGUAAGUGAAACAAGAACCCUCUCUUUCAGAUGCAGACAAUGCUUGAACGGCUCUUAGCACCUUUCUUCCUCUAAUCUAAGUGCUCUUCAAUUCCAUAAUUUCAAUGAAAUGGCACAUCAGUUCAAUUCAAAGAUCAAUCUCAUUCAUAGCUAACGGCGUGAGUUGGGGCGCUAAGGCUUAUAUCGGGGGGGAAAUCCGUUUGUCUACCAGGGAAUGAUGAAGCAGGCAGGAUCAGUUGCCGGGUCGUCUUCAAGUGGAGUUGAUUUUCCUGCGAGUGACGAUAAGCUAACGGAUCAAGUUGGCAAUGAUCUUGAAUUCCAUAAUGACACUAUAAUUAUAUGAAUGACAUGAGAGAGAUUCAAUUAAUAGCCGUUGGAUGGAUUAAAUAAAAGGUGGAUUUGACUGUUAGCUCUCAAGAAGAAAUUCCCUCUUCCGCGCGAGGUUAAGUCUAUUUCAAUAGGCCGCCUUCUGUUCUCAAAGUGUCUCGUUCGGGUUUAGCUUGUGUCUAAGCCAUCAAGGAGAGUUCAAGAAGUCGAAGAGAAUGUCCACGUAACGGAGAGCGGUAAGAACUGGUUUCAACUAAGCCCACUACACGGAGCUGUGUUGGCUACUAGAAUAUCAUUUCUUGGAAUUUCUUUUCUUAAUUGAUGUUUGAAUACGAAGUUCUACUUUUAGAAUAUGUUGAAGCCUCAUCUCAUCUCGAAUCUCAUGCGUAAGUCUCAAGUGAGUAGCGCAAGUAAGCCUAAGAAUUGCCUGUUACUGUUUCAUCCUACUUAGAAGCUGUGCCAGUGUUGUAUGCUAGAGAGGAUAUGCAAGUUUGCGAGAGAGAAAUUCCUAAGUAAUAGGCGGGUGAUGGAAAUGUAUCAUUCUUCAAUUGGACCUUUACUGCUUGAAGAUCGUAUAGACCAACUUAUGCGAGAGAAUCUUAUCCAGUUUGUUUGAUUCGGCACAAGAAGACUAAGUGAGAAAAGUAGACCUGACCGCGAAAGAGAUUGAAUGAAUUCCUGUUUGCUUGUUCGGUGUACUUCAUUCUGUUGAGUUGAAAAAAAGAAGCCAUAAGAGAAAUGGGUGUCGAUAUUCUUGACAAAAAGUGGAUUUCUAGUAAGCAAGGUCAAAUGGUUAGGUUAUUGAGUUCGUGGUGCCCAGCUUAGCGAGUUUAGGUUAGGUUAGCGAGUUAGGAAAGGAAAGUUCCAGAUCCCGAUACUGACUUAUGUGCUAAGACAUUUUCCUGGUUUACCGAAGCAUUAAGUAUUGCUAGGCCCAAUCGGAUUUGCCAUUCUCUUAGUUUACCAUGGGUUAAAGGACUCGAAAGAAGCCCACUCUAUAUAUGUAUUGUCGUUUCGUGGAGUGCAUCUUCUGCGCGUUGUCAAUCAUACUCGUCUCGUCUCUUUGCUGGGGGUGCUUGAGAAGGCAAUAAUCAUCAAGGUGUUGGUUAAGCAGUAAGUAGAUAAGGUCUUUUGCUAAGUGGAAGCAACCAUGCAGACAAGCCGACAAGCCGGAGUGUUACAACUUGUCUAUAAGGGCAAUCCAAUACUUCAGAAUGGAAUGAGUUUACUACAACUCUUGCUACUAUACCUAUAUCUGUUACUUGAAAGUCGUUUAACCAAUAUUCUAUUCCAGGGCAGGGCUGAUUGAUACGGCAGGGCAAUUCUUAGUUGAUAGUUUGAUUCUUUGUCGAGCUAGUAUAGUGGACUUUUGAACUCACUCCUACAGUUGCUCACCAGGACUUGGUUAUAACAUAUGAAUUUCGUUCCUGAACAACACUCAUUGCUUUUUGAGUAGUAGCUUGGCGCUCAAGACAGAAUUAAUGGGAAGCGCACCCCUCUCUCUGCAUCAAUGGGUUUGGUCUCUCUCUACAUCAAUGGGUUUGGUGCAAAGAUAAUCUUAUCUUCUCUCAUUAUGAUUCUCUUCUCUCAUUAUGUAGUAGUAGGAUCGUCAUCUGUCUCAGUGCCACCGAACUCGCACUUUCUCAAAGAGAUUUUCAACGACCCACUAGAUUGAUUGGGUUGGUGUGAAGAUACUCCCCAUAUAUAUAUCUUAUCGUUAUCGAAGUGAAAGCAGCUUGGAACACAACUCGUUAUCGAAGUGAAAGCAGCUUGGAACACAACCGAGGAAAAGGAGAUGAGAUCCUAUGAUUCUCCCGGAAAGUCUUAGCAGGUACGCGGGUUCUUUUGAUUUCAAUACCUUCAUCUUAGCGAUAGGAAUAAUCGAAUAUAGCUCCAUCGAUCUCGUUUUGAAUGCGACCCGUGGAUAAGAAAAGACCUAAGAAGAGCUAUUCCGUGGGCCUACUUUCCCCUUUACUAGUAACUGACAGUCACAAUACUUGGAAACGACCAAAAGAAUCAAGGUGCUGAAAGCCUAUUUCUCAAUAAGAGUAACAUGAGGCUAUCGGUCCACUAAUCAUAUGGACUUGAAUCCCAAGCCAGCAACUGAGAAAAGAGCAUAUCUUGGUGCUACCAAACCAACCCAGAAUAUUGAAAGCUGGGUUAAGGUGAUAAAAAGGGGUAAUGCAUUUAUAGAAUUCAUCAUUGGUAUAGCAGCUCUACCACCGAUGGACCAAAAACCACUGGGAAUUGCACUGGGUUCCCGGAAGGCAAUUUGAAUGCCAUACAUUUGGGGUUAUCUCUGAAACUCCUACAUCCACUGCAACAGAAUAGAGUGGAAAGUAACGCUCCCAGGUUAGCCGCAUAGGCAACGAAUUCUUCUAGUGAUUCUACAUUAACCCAUUUAGAUAUUGAUUAGGAGAUUGGAAAGCCAGGAGUGGGAACGCAGCAAGGCUUUCCGCACCUCUCUUUUGAAACAACCAUUUGAGUUCCUUCCUAAGGUUGUGAAAUAGGAAAUCAAAUCAUAGUGUUUGUUGCCUCGGUUGUAUACCUAAGUUGCUAGAUUGGGAAGGCAGAAUUGCGAAAUACCAGAUGAGUCCCAUCGUGCUUGCUAUCAGAGGCGCCCUUACCUUCAAUUACUAUAUAUCCAGAAAAUGGCACGAGCCUUGUUUCAUUUCAAUGGAAUAUAUCUCUUGCUUAGAGUUGAGAAGGAUACCCGUAAGGCUUCCGAAACGGCUAAUGAUCCUGUAUCUUAUCUAUACUCUGUCAAGCACAACAGCAGCUACGGACUUUUGACUGCCCAGAAAGGCUUUAUCGCACCCGUACUCGUAGACAACAAACAAAGAUGACUUUCGAUCAGGCUAUUCUCUAAGAUAUGAUGAAACUCGCACUAGGCGAACUAUAGCAUUUGCAUCUUGGACUUGCGCAUUAGGGGUGUAGUUGGCCAACACUGACUCUGAUCCUUCUCCUGAUCCAAUAUAAUAGACUUCACUCCAACAGAAACAUCAUUUCCUACUACCUCACCUUCUCCUGCUGAUGUCCUGGUUAUGCUCCUUCCAUUGGAGAAUCUUUAUAGAGGGCUAGUAAAUAGGGGUGAGGCAAAGCAAGAAAGAAGCAAGCGAGACUAGGACAGGACGGAAUCACCGAUCGUCAAUGAAAAAAAAGGUGAUAAUAGGCAAUGAGAAAGGCUUAUGUGAGGAUAUGCAGGGUGUAGUGUAUAGAAAACUUAUUCCAUAGCUGUAAAUUAUUGGGCAUUGAGAAGAAGCGCAGAUAUAACAUCAAUUUCCGAGCUAGAUGUAAAGUAGGAAUUUAUGCCACUCCCUUUCUGUUAGCGCCUUACUGACACCGAGUAAACUAAUAAGGAUCUUUCAAGCGCAAUUAAUUGAAGAGCAUGUAGAGUUGCAGUAUAACAAUACGAUCUCGCCCAUACUCCAAUCCUAGGAGAACUUUCCGUCUAUUCCUGGCCCUUGUGCUUACUUAGGCGAGUUUUCCACUUGUUUCUUGCGCCUUGGCUUGGCUUUUGCUUGAAAACUCACUGUUUCCUUUCUUGGGCUUUCCCUGAACCCUGACUCUCUGGUCUCUCUUUCUGUGCAACUAAAUAAUGCGGAAGUCCGGAUUGCCCUUACUAUCUUCAUAAUGCGCCCGUUGUCAAACAUCUUCUUCUAUAAUAGCCGUUGUCAAACAUCUUCUUCUAUAAUAGAGUCAAGAAGGAUCUAUCAUACUAUAGAAUCUAAUAGCUUGGGAGCCGUUGCUUUUCCUUUAGCAGAGAGUUGCUUUUCCUUGCUUGUUCUGUUUCUCACUCAUAGCAAUCUCUUUCUUUACUAAUUGACCACCUAUCUAGUUCCACUAUGUAGGCUUUUUGCUGGGAAUCUAUUCAACCAGGCAGGGACAAAGAGAAAGGGUAUCCAUCCGACCGAGUUAAUCAAGAUACUUGUUCCAUUCCAAAGCACCCGAUGCAGAGUAAUGGUUGCCAGAGAGAGAAGAGAAUAGGAGGGAUCGGGNNNNNNNNNNNNNNNNNNNNNNNNNNNNNNNNNNNNNNNNNNNNNNNNNNNNNNNNNNNNNNNNNNNNNNNNNNNNNNNNNNNNNNNNNNNNNNNNNNNNNNNNNNNNNNNNNNNNNNNNNNNNNNNNNNNNNNNNNNNNNNNNNNNNNNNNNNNNNNNNNNNNAGAGCGAGCCAGGUGGGCUUCCUUCCUUUCCUUGCAUGGUGAAACUUCUCUGGGAAGAAAAGAAAGGACUGGGACUCGAGAUAUAUGAAGAGCGGGGGACUGCUAGAAGUUACUACAUUCCCUCUAAGCUGAACCUAUACCUCGAACUGCGAUCAUCACUAUCCACACGUAAAUCAGGAUCCAUCAUUGCUGGCCACCCAGGCGGUUACCAACCAAAGCCAAUUGGACUCGACCCGGGAAAGAAUGUACUGAUCCUAUCUUAUCUUCUGCUCGCUUGUGAUCAGAGGAGCCGAGCACCUACCAAGAAUGCAGCUGCUUUAGACAGACAAUGGAGGAAUCGAAAGACAGAUAUGGACCUUUUCUCUGGAUGCUACCUUCCUUUCCCCUGCUGCCUUCUUUAGAAGCAAGGAAAGAGCUCUCAUAACCAGCGAAUUCUAAUAAGGGGCUUGCCUUCUUUAGAAGCAAGGAAAGAGCUCUCAUAACCAGUUCGUAGGCUAAGUGAGGUGAGCUGAUCGAAAAGCAAGAUAGGCGCUCAGUGAUCUACGGCCGAAAGAGGGAAUAGGUGCUUUUAGUUUGAAAGAGGACAGGGGGCCAAGCAAACUCUGAAAGGCUUUCCCUGAAUUAUAGGACACUGAAGUAAAUGUUUCCUUUCACAGGGCAUGGGCUAGCGUGUGCAAGCACAUAAUGCAGGAGGACACAGACCCACUAUGCUGGGGGAAACACAAACUUCAGUACAAGAAACCUUGACAAAAAAAGCAUAAAAAGAACCUACAAUGGACAAUAGAUGUCGUCCGAAAGAUGAAGUAUUUGAAAGAGUGGGAACAAGUCUAUGAGGAUCCGGAAUUGCAGGCUAACCUCAUAAGGAACAAGAAUGCACUCAAAACCUUCUUCGAAGAAACAAGGUGGAUAACUAAUGAAGGAAAACAAGCAACAGAGCAGAUUCCAACUUGACUUUAAGGAUCAAAACCAUCUAAAAGAGUAUACCUUUGCUUAUUUAGGGGAAAAAUCUCUCUUCCUAGUUCGGGCUUGCAAUCUCAUCUUUGACUCUGCCCAAGCAACUACAACUAUAUGGGGAGACUGCCACACAAAAAACACUCAUGUGCCAAAUGCUUAGCGCUGUCCUAUACACCUAUUCACCCAGUGCGAGAUUCUAUGAUUUCCGUGUGGCACAUGACCAUUAUGAUCUAUGGAUUUUCGAUGAUUUCUAUUUCGAAGAGGACUUUUCAAAAGAGGUAAAAACCCAUCCAAAUACUAUGGCUGUAAAACUAAGCUCACUACUCCAAAUACUUGAUGGACAAAAAUGCAGGUUGGAUAGGAAGGAUGGAACACCUUUCCUCAAAAAGCAAAAUGUGCCCAUUAUUGUAAUCACCAAUUUGCCCAAUGCUAGUAUGUGCUACCAUGGAAACUUCAAUGAGAGAUUAGGAAGGUGUAAGUUGAGUUCAAAGAGAAUAGAGCUUCUAGAAGAAAGGGUUAUAGCAACUUUCUACGGAUGCAUACUAAGGAGGCUACAGCAGAAAAAUCUCCAUUUGGGGAAAGUGCUAAGAACAUCCAAAUAAUGUACAAUGAGGAGUGGGGGCACAGAUCGAAUAUCCUCUUGUAGGUGAGAAGAAACAAAUAGAGACAGCCCUAAAGCAAGGAAGGAUGGAGAAACUCAUCAAACACGGGGAUAGGGGAUUGGUAACCAAAAAACAGAAUCCAAUAGCACAAAUACAAGUCAAAAGAAAGCUACUUGAGGAACAAAGGGGAGGAGAAUUGGCACUUUAUUGCACAUAUGCAUCUAAAGCUGUUAACCGAAAGAAUGCAGGAAAAAGGAACACUCACUGCUUUGGAGUUCGCAUACGUACCACUAAAGGAUAGCUUACAACUUCAAACAAUACAAAACCAGCAAAUCACGUGGAAAAUGAUGUUGCUCUUCAAACACACAUGGAGACCUGUAGCUAUAGGAUGUCUUGAGCAAGAGCACGACACGCGGAGCUACCUGUGGUGGAGAAACCCAGAGAGCACCAACCAAAAGGAACUCACCAAGUUGAAAACUGUCUUUGCAGCGUGGCCGGUGCAAGCUUAUGUCGAGGACUUUUCCCAAUCCAUAGCAAUGAUGCUCACUUUGGGAAAAUGAAGAGAAUUGGCUGCCAAGGGAAUGGUUACAGAGCAAACCAAUUAGCUCCAACUCUCACUCGGAGCAACCGGAAAAGGAACUCGAGCCUCAAAGGAAAGGGAUCCGAGAAUGCGCUAGUUCCUUUAAAAGCUUAUUACUUACCUAUUGAGGAGUUGAAUAUCUGAAAUACAGGUACCGGAGUUUGGAGUUGAGAGUGGAAUGAAAUAAAGGCACCUGGCCAAGAAACUACUUAGCUACUACCCUGCUUCUCUAAUACUGACUUGUCUUAUACUUACUUAUACUUACUUAUACUUACUUGUCUUAUGGAUACUCAAUACUCCAUCGAAUCUAACUCAGGCUACAAAUACUGAUGAAACUAGACCACUACAAGGGAAAGCAGAGCAUUCAAGUUCAGGUCAGGCGGAGGCAUAAUAGGGUUAUGGUAUCGGUGAACAAGUAAGCUGUUCAGAAAGUGGAGUUCGAGGAGAGUCUCCCACCAAGAUAAGAUACUGGACCGGAUACUCUGAUUCAUAAGAUGAUCUGUCUUCUCUUGCACCUAGUAUAGAGACCUGUAAAUACAUUCCUUCCCGCGCGUUGUCUUGUUGCUGAUUUAGUAGUUGAACGUUGCGUGUCAGUCAGUUCGAGUCUACUUCUGCUCGAGGUUAAGUAAUCACUGCUCGCUCUAGGUCAAAUGCGUUAAGUAAUCACUGCUCGCUCUAGGUCAAAUGCGUAAGGAGAGGGUGUUUCAAUUCCUGCUUGGUCACUUAGUAUAGUUGGGCCUGUCUGUGAACAAGCAUCAGUUCAAUCCCAUUCCGCUUCUGCGCCUACACUAGAAAUCUUCGAUUAAUCAUUCCGCAGCUUCCGUAUUGCCUGUUGAGUUUAGUUCAGAAAGACGUAGUCCGCUAGGGAGUUUCAAAGACAAAGCUCUGUGCUCUCAAGAUGAAGUGCAUUUGGAAGGUGAAGACUGUUUAGAUCGUAAAGAAAGGGGCAAUUAGAGGUAAGAGUGAUCCUAGAGGUAAGGUAAGAGUGAUCCUAAUCCUGCGCUAAGAUCUUUGAAUGCUCCUCUGCCUUAACAUCUUUUCCUGCUGGCUGAUUGGAAUGUGACUGAUGCUUCUGCGCCAAGACCCUAAGUUUCUGCACUAAAAUCAAGUUAUUGCUCUCAUCUCACUCUAUUUCUUUUCUAACUGAAUGAGGCUCCUCCAACUUUCUUCUUAUCCUAUAACUCUACUCUUUAGCUUAGCGGGCUCAACACCCUUUUCACUUAUUGCUUUAACCGAGCUGUCAAGACAGACUGUAAAGGCAAUCCGAAGUCAACUAAUUCCAUUCUUAUAUACAAGUAAGGUAGGCAAAAACAGUACUAUAGCAAGAACGAAUUCAUGAAAUCUAUCUCACUCACCCAUUAUCUAAUAGGAAUGUCAUAGGCAAACUAGAAUGGAAAUUGAACUUACAACUAAUAGAGUCAAGAGCAAGAUCAAAUAAUAGAGUCAAGUAUUCAAGGGGUGCGUGCGUGAGUCUCGGAGUUGUUGUCUGAGUCCUGUAGUUGCUAGUUAUAGCCUCAGUAGCGGUGGUAUCAGUCUGGUCGGUACCGAUUUAAGCCUGCCCGGCAUCGGUUGAAGGCUUGUUAGCAGUCAUCCCAUAUAAGAAGAUAUAGAAUUAUCAUCUCGGCAAGUAACUCGGAGAGCCAAGGCCUCAAACUAAACUAUAAUAAUAAACGAACAUAAACAGUUAUGUUUGUUCUCUUACUCCCUAUGCGUUCGGUGACGCGGCAGUCCCUUCUGCUUUCCUAUAUGAAGUUCUCCUAUGUUUCCCAUAUUGUGUCAGUAGAGCGUAAAGAUCACUUGGUUUUCGCCAUAAUGAAGCUAUUCUUACGGUGUUAAGUCCACUCUACCACUCCAUUCUUUAGUUCAAUACUUCUAGCUUCCUCGCCUCAAUCCACUCCCUUCCCUUACCCCUACUAGCUCUUUCCCUUACUAGCCCCGAACACAGGACCACUGACUUAAGGCUUACUACUAGACUACCCCUUACUAGCUCACCGAUGAGUUUCAUUCCGACUAGCUCAACUCUGAGUUUCAUUCUUAUAUUACUGAGGUUCAUUCCUAUUUUCCUACUAGCUCACCUCCGAUACUGGUACUGUUGACUACUUACUCCCUUCUUCUGGGCUUACUUCUGAUUAAGGGCUUCCUUCUUCGGGGAAUCGUUGGGCAAUGGGUUCCUUUUGGCCAUACUCCAUUCAGUAUUUCUCCUUAUAACUGCCAACACCAGACUUUCGAACUAGAACUGUAAACUCCCUUUGUUACUAAUUUGUACUAUAGGCAGAGUAUAGCUGUUACUAAAAUGAGUAUAAGUAAGUAUGGGUGUGACUAAACCAGUGUUACUAAUUUCUUUAGAUCAGAAGAAAACCGGAACUACUUGCUUUCCGGAGCAGGAAAGUAUCUCGGAACAGGCGCGGCGGGCAGGAAUCAAUGACCACGACCACUACUUGGUGGAAACCCUUAUUUCUAUCGAACUACAUCUUCUUAAGGGCCUGUACGGGCAACCACCUCAGCUCAGGCUCUUCUCUUGUACUAUAGCCUAGCUCUUCUCUUGUACUAUAGCAAUAAAGAAGAAUGGAGCAGUACUAAAGGAGUGUGACAUCUUCUACUUCUAUUACACCCCCACCCCUAAUAGAUUGAUUCGAUAUACCACCCCCGAUGACAUUGAAAAUAGUCCGAAAAGCCACUCCACCCUAGUAAUAGGAAUGAAGCAAAGCCCACACCCAUCCAUGUCUUGUCUAUCCGUGUCUUGGCCUGUUUCUUUAAUUAAUGGUUUACUUACCGCAAUUUAUACACUGGUACCUGAGUUAGGAGUUCCACUUGUCUAGUAGUUACCUGUCCCUGGUAGUACAAUUCUAUUCCAGUUAUGCAAAUAGAUAAUCUCUUCUAUUCCAAUUAUGCAAAUAGAUAAUCUCCUCUAUUACAAUUCCCACUCUGAUCCUCUAUCUAAGGCUCACACAGGACUUAGAAUAAGGCUUACCCAGAGUAUACUAGUUGGGGCUCGGAAUAGCUUACCACAAACACAUAGCCAGUGGGCAAGCAGGUAGGGAGCCCUGAACCAUAAAGAUGCUAGGAAUAAAUUCACUAUAACAUCACUUUUAGAGUGUUAUGGGAAAUCACAUUAAAAACAUAAGAAGUUGUGAAAUAGUUCAUUUAUUAUUAAUCAAAUUGACCCUUUCCUUCUCGAGCACACAAGGAGACUAUAGUUAGUCAAGUUAUGGCUCUGGACCACUACUUAAAGGGGAAUUUCUACUAGUUGGGGCAUUAUUGACUACCUUACUUUUGCACAACAUCUGCUCCUGGUCGAUGAAACUAAUGAACUGACAAGUAACUGAGUGGCGAGGCCAAGCAAUAUACCGCCAGAACCGGAAAGAACUCAAUACAAGUCUCAAGUCAGUGGGCAAAUGAUUCUGUUUCCGGGGUAUUAGUUUGAUUCAAGAAGCUUAGGCCUACUUUGGAGCACUUAGGUUGGUGAGAUAUAGUUCCAUUAUUCUGUAGAGUCUCAUUCUUAGAUACAGAGAGUCUCAUGAGUUUGAUAACUUCUUUCUUUCUGUAGUUUGAUAACUUCUUUCUUAUAUAAUACCUAGACUACUACUAGUUGGGGCAAGAACUAUACUUUCUUGAAUAGCUGACCAACUUACUAUAAGGGCCUCGUAUACUUGCUACCCUCUCAUAAACUACUGGCUCCUUAGUUGCGAGUUACUUGUCAGCUUGUCCUGUCCGAUUCCCGCCUUUGUAGUUGUUGAUUGUCCCCUAGUUCAAUGAAAAACAAGAGAAAAACGAGUUCCAUUCCGCCUAUACGCACACUGUAGAUUUCAACUGGCCUUAGAAGUCAUUUCUUCCUAACAUCUUGACCCUAUUGCUCUGGAAACUAACCACUCCAGUUUUCGGCCCUCUCUUCUCUUUCAUUCCAACUACUGAGGUCCAUUCUGAUUCUUUGAUUACUUAGGUCAGAGUUCAGUUCCAUUCCGAGUCUUAUACUUAAUACGCGGCACAACUCAGUACUUCUGGACUACUACUUUGAUUACUACUUUAAAUAAGGUGCUGAAAGCCUACUACUGGAGAUUCCACUUUACUACUACAAUACUUGUCAGCUGAAGACUCAACUAGGGAUUUCACUAUAACAGGUAAUGAAUAAGCUUCUUCUCAAACUUAGCUUGAUGGUUCCCUUGCCCACCUCUCAUAACCAUACUUUAGAACAGGAACUAGAAAAGUACUACUACGACUUAUGAAUCAACGGAACUUCUAGCUCAGCUCCUUAAGCUAGUGUUCUGUCAACUAACAACUACUGAUGAAACUUAACUACUUAGGGCUUUCAAAACCAUGCCAAUUACGUAAGGGCACUGGACUUGUAUACCAAACCCACCCCUAUGACCUAUCACUAUUACUUAGAGCUAGAGCACCAACCCAACCCUCGAAUGAAACCAGUUACGAAAACCAGACUCGUUACUAACUGCUAGAGCAGAGAGAGUUAGCUUCGCCUCUGUCAACUAAUACUGUUAUGGCUCUCAUCGCAUCUACCGGAGUCAACUAAUACUGAUUCUAUAGGACUUACUACAACUGGGCUGCUACUACCUGGGCUUGUAUACCCCAACUAUCUCUUCUCGGGAAAGCCUUUCACUCCUCUGUAAACUGACACUCUCAACUGACCUUACCGACCGCUACCUCUCAUUCUUAUUUCGAUUGAAAACCUCUAACUUGACACUUGCGUAACACCCUUAUUGAUUUAUUUCCUCGCUCGCCAAGCCAACACACCUAUUGAUUGAAACCAUAGUAUCGGUAUAACAUACAAAAAACACAGUGACUUAGGGGACAUCACUCAUUCAUUCGUAACAGGACCAUCGCUUAUGCAUUUAAGAUAAGAGGAAACAAUUGACAUAACACUACACUGGCACAACCACAUACCCAAGGGAGAAAUAAACACAAACACACCUAUUGUUGCUAAUGAAACGCCGCCGUAGACAGUUCAAUUCAAGUUGGAGUCUGCGCUAACGGUAAGCCUUUAAUCAAAUCAUCUUUAUAGGCGAAACCCCUCUGAACCUUUGCCUUGCCUUCUAAAGCACCCAAAGAGACUCUAAGAACAGAAAGAAGGAGACUCAUAUGAUCUCGUCGACUGGAAUGGAAUUGCACUGUUUCUUCGCUGACCCCUGACUUGUGCUACUGACUUUAGACUAAACCUGCGACUCAAUGAGUUCUCAAAACAAGCGAUGCUGAUUGUUUACCUUUUUAUGCUUCUUGUUUACUUUUGUCUAUAUUAGAUGAUGAACGCUAGAGUUUUCUAUUUGCCAUUACGCGUUAAGCUUUGUUUUGAGUUCGCCUCGUUAGCUUACUUACUUGUGCCUUAGUGUGUUAGCAAGUGAGUUUCGGAGUGGAAUGUUAGGUCACUCUUCUCUUUUGGGGCGCCGGGCAAGAACAAAAGUACUAUGGUCUAGCGAUAGCGGUGGCCUAGCUGAUGAUAGAUUCAAGGUUAGAGUCUGGGCUGAUGAUAGAUUCAAGGUUAGAGUAAGCUGUGAAGAAGCAAUGCUGUGAAGAAGCAACACAAGCAAAAUACUAUAGCUUACUACAGUUUGGCAGUCCGGAAUAGAGUGUUUUUACUCCAAUUAUAUCGACAGAAUCCACUAGCGACGGAACAAGUAAGUGUGUUAGCUAGUUAGUGAAUUAAGUGAGUGACUAGAAUAAGGUCACUUUUUCACUCUAUAGUUAUUAAGGUGCCUUGGGUGCCGAUCCUCUCUUCAACAAGCAACUAAGAUAAGGACAAUAUGCAUUAUAUGAAGUUCAGAGGGAGUUCCGUUUUCACCUACUACAGCUUUUGCUUCUAUCAUACAAUACCUCGAUCCUCAUUCAGUUUAUUCUGUUGAGAGUCUAAUUCUUCGUUUUAAUAGCACUUAGGUUGGUUCAGAGCACUAGACUAUAGGGUGGUUGGUUACCUGAAUGGAAUCUAUUCUACAGAACAGAGCAGCGGGGAACAAGAAUUAUGUCAGUAUCUUCUCUUGCAACUGAUACUAUACUUUCCACAGCCAAGGAACUACUACAAACACGGAUUCUACUGGAGAUUCAACUAGAGCAGGUAAUUAAUAAACGGACUUUAGAACUGACUGAUCUAGCAGAUUCUCUUUCUUCCCUUGCGUACCUCUACUCUGGUUACAAAUCAUUCUUAAACAGAAACUUACCUCGCACAGGACUACCGGGGGACAAGCUACUACUAUACAAGUAAACAGGACAUUCUCCCUACUAUACAAGUAAAGGAACAGGACAUUCCCCACAACACCUAUAGCUUCAACACGUCCUGUGCUAAUACCAGUUCACAGGCUCCUGCCGCGCAACAUUAGGAGUUGCUUGGCCCUUCCCAUCUAGGAAAAGAGCAAAGAAU
rnacentral:lncRNA from 1 species